CACUAGGGCAUGUUUUAUAUUUUGAAGUUCAGCAAUGUCAACAUAUACUUAACAGACUAAUCAAUAAGUUACUCUUGCAAGUUAUGUUUCCAAACAAUUGACCACAACAAGUCAAUACAAAUUAAAUAAAGAAAAGAAACACUCCCCUGCUCAUCUUGUCUUCUUAGCUUAAGUAUGCAAAGACCCAAUUAGUGAGGCAGGUUUAGAGCCACAGAGUCCAGAAACUUUAUAGAAGGUGUCAGCUGAAUAUGACAAAGAGAUAUAAGAAAAUGAAAUAACAUUUGGUUGUCCCAUUUAAAAUUUUUAAUAAAUGGUUUUCCAGGCUCAUAAACUAGUCAUCACCAGAUUAGGUAAAGAUAGAGAAUUACCGAAUUAGUCAUCCUCCAUUUAAUUCUAGAAACGAGGGAAUGCACUUAGCAAACUUAUGACAAGCAUAGCAACUGUCAACAACGUGUAUAAUGAUAAAACCAAACCAGUACUGCCCCAAAAAAUUGAGUUUACUAACUGUAGAAUUCUUUAUUUGUUGUUGAGAAUCCAAAUUGAUUGGACCUUUGCCCAAAAAUGACUCGGUAAGUUGAGCUCUUAGUAAAAACUGGACCAAGCCCAAAUGCAUUCCAGAAGUUAAGAAAAAAUUCUAGAUCCAACCGGAUGUAACGUAGUUCUUGUUAUUUAGACAUACUAUGUGACCUUCAGAGUUUCCAACCAACAUAGGUUUUGGCCAAAAUUCUUGGCUUACAUCCCCAUAGUCAAAAUCAAGCAAAUCUUUAGGCCACUGCAAAAAAGAUGGCAGAUUAAGUUGUUCAACAGUUCAUAUAUAAAUAAGAAUCUUGAAUACCUGCCACGUUUUACUUCCAACCAAAAAAAUGAGUUUCCCAAAGGAUAAGAUACUAUCUCCCUGUAUUAGCUUACAAAAGUGCAACAUCCUGAUUCAAUUUUCAGUUGAUCAAAUAAAUUACCAAAACUUAGAAAUAAUCAAUUUAUAUCCAAAUGUAAUAUUAAACUAACCAAAUAUUUUGGUAAACGCUUUAGCUCAAGAGAAGAUAGAGUUGAUAUAGCAAUGAAGGAACCAAGCAGCAGUAACAAGAUUUGAAUAAGGCGCAAAAUAUCCCUGAUAAUGGUCAAACCGUAUGAGGGAGAAAAAAAAGCAAUGGAAGAUGUCAAGAGCCCUAUUGUUGUGCCGAAGAUCAUUGGUAUCAAUCUCAGGCCAACACAGGUUCAUAAAAGCCAACAUACAGCAUUCCAACAGUAAGAACACUCGGCCUAAUCAGCAACAUACAUACUGUACAGUAUACAAUAGUACAUAACAAUACCUAAAUCCUUGUGGAAGAGCCCAACCUUUGCAGCAUCAAACACAAUGCCUGAUGAUAGUGUGAAGUGGACAGUGACAGUCGCCAACUAGGGUUAAAAUUUUAACCCAAGUAUACUAGAACAACUCAAGUUGGACCAUAAGCCUACCCAGUUAAAAUGCCCUCAUUUUGACAAAGUCUUUGUUAUCGAAUAUUGAGCAAAGUGUAGUUUGGGCACAAUGGAGCCAAAAUCAAACAUGCAAUGUUGGAGAGGAGAAUUGAAUUGUCUAACAUCAAAGUCCUCAAAAAAAUAAAAGAAUCACUUCCACUUCUUCUCUUUGCAAAGUAAAUCAAAUUUAAGUCAGCAUUAAUCACGUCUGAGUGUCCUCCAAAGGACAGUUUGUGUGGCAGCAUCAAUCCAAUUAAACACCAUACAAGAUCCAAAGAAAAUGUUCUUGAGUCCUAUUGGACCCUAUACUAUAAUGGACUCUGGAGAGAGAUUUUAUUUUUAAGCAUACAGCUUUCAAGAAGCAAAAUUAUAUGCCGGUUAUAAACACGUUGUCUCAAAUCAAAUAAGACUUCAUUGCUGAUUCUUUACAAAGUAAGAAGUUUAUGAAGAAACAAAAGUAACCAAUGUUACAUAUAUUAGCCUUGCAUCUAGAAUAAUAUUCGCUGGAUCGUUAAAGGUGUUUAACGUCCCACCCAAUUUCCUUUCCAUGUGGUAUUAUCUGUGGAACAGGGNNNNNNNNNNNNNNNNNNNNNNNNNNNNNNNNNNNNUGGGUUUCUAGCCCGCUUGUUGUUUCUAGCCCGCUUGCUGUUUAAAUGUAACCGACCAAGAAACUUGAUAGUGGCCUUCCACAAUAAAAUGAUUCAAAUCCCAGCUCACCAUGAAGUCUUUCUUUUUUUUGGUAAAAGCAUCACGAAGUUCUUUAUCAUAUCAUUCUCACCUCAAAGACACGUCACUUUCAAGGCUAAAUCACUUUUUAAAUUGAUAAUUUCAUCGAGGCUUCUGAGCGUAUUUGUUUAACAAGCUCCAUAGGAUCAAAGUAUCUUGAGAUGAGAGGAGGUCCAAGGAAGGAAACAAGGAAACCUAAGGGAUUUUGUUGAGGCCAGUGUUUCUCCACAAUCAAGAUAUUAGCUAGAAAAAUUUUGGCAUUUGCAGGAGUUACAAUUUCCAAGGCAUUACUAAAACACCACGCAUGGUUUUGAUGAGCUAGGCUCAAGGCUUAAAAAGAUUCCGCCUUUGAGGUGUGGUAGGAAAAGAGAGCCUCACUGAGGCUUGCAUUUAUGAAUCCUAACAUACCCCUCAAGAUGAUUUUUAAGGUGAGGAGGAGGUUAGUGAAUCUUUAACCCUUGCAGAAUAUCCCUUUAAAAUUAAAAAUAAAAUUUAACUUGUAUUUUCAUUAAUUGUCAAAAAAAUCAUUUAUUUCAUUUGCUUAUCUCUAUUCUCUUUGAAGUUUUAGCAUCCUAGACUACACUUGACAUCUUAAGCAAUCUGAUCCUCAAUCAAGGGCAGUAAAUGAUGUAGAUCAACCCAUGAGUGAUAUAUUUAUUGUAUUACAUCAUUAUAACUUAUUCAAUUAAAUAUUUGAGGCUUACAUUUCAAACUACCUUGAGGCUUAUCCCAUGCAUUUUCUGGCUCAAGUGCCUCAUCUUCGCUUUAGCCUUUAAAACAUUGAUGCCAGGCUGUUUGCUUUUAUAGGAGCUGCCCAAAAGAGAGAGGAAAAAAAAACAAAAGAACUUUUAGAACUUGUCAAAUGUAUUAAUAGGGUCACUAGAUGCUACAGGGUAUCAAAACACACGUUUGUGAUGGUAGCCUCGCCUUUUCUAUCCCAGCUUCGGGACUGAGAGGAAAUUUCCACUUUUCUCCAGUGGAACCAUAACAGAGUCACUUAAUGAGGCUAGAUGCUUGUUAAUGUUGGACCGGCAAACCAAUUCAUUUUCUUCAUGACAAUCACACAAGGUUACUUAAGCCACAGCCAUCAAUAUUGGUUAGAGUAGCCACUAACGACAACUGAUUUCUGUGAAGGUCAUAAUGAAAAUGUAUAGGCCUAGCGGUAGAGGCAAUGUGCAGAAAGUCAACCUUCCUAGACAAGGGAGAACAGCCGGAAUAUGAGGAGUGGACUACCUUCUGUCCACUAUUAAGGAUGCAUAAUAGAAGCUCAAGAGGUUUUAGCAUGCUUUAUAACCUUCUAAGUCCCAGUGACAGUAACAAAAACAAAACACAACAUGCUACAAACUCAUAUCUCUCGUUCAUAGCUUUAAGAAAGGGCCAUCCCACAAUGGAAGGAGUCGCCCCAGCAAAAAGGAAGCAAAGAACAAGAUUGAACAAACUCUUUCUCUCUCUUUCUAAUCUGAUAUAAGUAAAGAGAUUAUAUGCAGAAAAGCCAAGAGAAAGAGAGUAACCAAGUCAAAAGCCAAAACCCCAAGCUCAUGCUCUCAACACACUUUUCCCCAACUCCAUCAUUCCUAACCCUAUUUUUCCUUCGUCAAGCAUGUGUAAUAAAGGAAGUAAGAAACCAUUGUCUCAUUGAGGAUUCAUUUUCCUUAUUUCAUUUUCCCUCACAAAUCCUGUAUAUCCAAAACUGGUUCUUUUCAAAGAUUUCCAUGCCAGUCCUUUUAACGAAUUUCGUUUUAUUCAAAUAAAAAAAAAUUCUCAAUUGCCCAAAAUUUAAUUUAAGCAGAAUAGUAUACAGUUAGACAAUUUACGCAAUCCCCCAAUCGUAUCAGUAGAUGAAACUAAAUCAAACAAUACAAAGUGAAAAGAAUGAUCAAAAAAGUUGAACCAAAAGGGGAAAAAUGAAAACAUUUCUAACCCUAAUUAUGCUAUAACUCAUGAAACACUACAAUAUUCCCAUGAGCCAGAACAAGUAAUCUAACAAAAACCCAUACAGAACAAGAUCAGAAGAAAAAUGACAAAAAAAUAAGAAGAAAACCAAGAGGGUUUAAUACAAACUCACAUGGGUUUCAAGAACUUCGAUUGCUGCAACCAGAGGUCACGCAGAUGGGAAGUUGCCAGAAAUCGGGAACAUCUCACUGGCUUCCGAAGCCCCGCAACGCUCCUAUCCAUGCCGCAUUCCUCGGCGGCGGAAAUCGAAGAGGAACCACCCCAAAUCCCACGCUUCGGAGCCAAGAAAGCAAAGAAAACCCUAGAAAUUCCUAGAACGGCGAGAAACCUUUCCAAGAUCUAACCCCAAGAAGCUGAAAUCCAAAUGAGUUCGAUCGAGUUGGCGCUCCUUCCGCCGCCGCGGUGUAGAUGGAUCUCCCGAUGGGGGAGGUCAGGGAAGGCUGCGAGGAGAGGGGGCUUCUUCACGGGGGCUCGAUUCGAUGGGGAGCGGAGGGAGGGAUCGACGGAUUGGGAGGAGGCGAGGAGGGGGAGGGAUCGACGAUUCGGGGCGCGAGGGAGAAGAGGAUUUGAGGAUAUCGUGGAGAGAACUCUCUCUCUCUUCUCGCCCUUGGGUGGGUUCUUUCUUUUUCUUUGUUGCCUCGAAGGGGAGAGUUCCAUAAGGGCAGUGGGGACGUCGCCUCUUAUGUAGGACUCCAAAGAAACAAAGGGAUAUUAAAAAAAUAAUAAUAUUUAAUGGCGGUCAGGUUAAGCUUGGAUUUGGUAACCGCUUCUUAUGUGCACCACCAGCUUACUAUUGCUUGAUAGUUGCCAGAUAAUUAAUGUUAUUAGUAAAAUUAUUAUGAAAUUUAUAUGAAAGGAGAAUAGGAUCUUUGUUGUAUAUCUGAGAUUGAUGGCAGGAAGUCAACAUCAUCUUAUAUGGAUUUAUGGCAUGACUCGUGUGUGUCGCUCCAAGAAACAUAUUUUAUAAAUUGAUAGCUCCUAGAAAAAAAUUACGACAACAAAAUAACAACAAAUAGUAUGAGUUGACAGAGAAAUUAUUAAAAUUAUAUCCUAAUUUGCUAAUAGAGCUAUAAACCAAUUAUUGCUACUUUUUUAUAUUCUCUGAAUGCUUGACAUUAAUAUUUGCCAUAUAAAUUCUUUCAAAUGAUUAAUGGCUUGCUUAUAUUAUUUGUUAAAAAAAGAAAAUAAGUAUAGACAAAUUCAUGUGCAAGCAAUAAAUUUCCAGAUUGGAUCAAGAAUUCGAAUAAUUUUGUUGUGAUGCAUAAGAGUUUUAUCAGAAUAAGUAUCAAUUGUGCAUCUAGUGGUUAUUCUUAAAUUAGAUUCAUCGCUUUAUACAGAUUACUCCAAGAUCAUUUAGUGAUCGAGGUCAAAAGGAUGAAAGGUUGAUAUAGUCGUUCAUCUAGAAAUUUGUAGUGCAGUUAAUAGAUACAUAUUCUCAUUUGGUCACUUAAAGCCAGUGAUGAAGGGAGUGUUUGUGAAAGAAACAGUCCCACUGCCAUGGGAAUUCUGUGGCCACUAUUUUUUUAAAAGAAUUUUCCAAAUACGAGCUAUGAAAAGUGUUGAAAUCAUUCCAAGAGGGAGGUCCAUGAAGAAGCUAGGGUCACCCCCUCCAUAUGUUUGAAUUAUAACGGCUACAAACCUUUUCCCACCAUUUUACCUUGCGCCCUUUUUCUUUUCACUGUGGACUCCUAUCUGCACUUCACGUUAGCCUGCCUUCGUAUAGACCUCAGACCAUAUGUUCAGGCCUUCUCGCCUUGGGCGGGAAAGGAGCAAUAUAUUUUAGGUAGGCAAAGCAUGAGCAGGAGGAGGUUUUCUAUCUACUAUUCUAUUGUAUGUUAUUUGUUUAUUUAUCUAAAGAUAUAUGGGCGAACUCUUGUCCGCGUGCAAUUUUUAAUUGCACCAAUUAGUGUGGUCUUAGGUGGCUGGAAUUGCAAAUCGGUUGGAUCGAGAUGGACUUGGGCUGACCAAAUUGUGGGCAUACUUUGGGCUUGUCAAUCUGGUGUUGUUGGGUCUUUUUUGUUGAAAGAGGAUAAAUCAACUCACUUACAGCCUUAUCAAUUGCCUUAGCACCAAGCAUAACUCUUAUAAUAUGAUGGAAAGCACUUUUUGCUUUCCUAAUCGAACCAACUUUGCCAACAAAUUUAAUAAUCAAUGCAUUCCUAUGCUGAAAUUAAGAAAUAAAGUUCGGAAAACAUGCUUGAAUUUGCAAUUUUGUUGUGAAUUUAUCAUCCCAAAGCAUUCGCUUAUUAAUCACUCUUUUUUGUACGUCAGCAUGGAGACAGACUUAUAAGGAUAGGUCAUGCAGACUUGUGACAGCCUGAUCCAUAGAAGGAACAUCCUUGAAUCCACUCCAUGCAUGGCCUACGUUCUUCGUAAGGAGGCAAAGCAUGCAUGCAUGCACAUAUAUUACGUGCAGAAAAAAAUUGAAUUUAAAUUAAGUCUGUUAAAAAAUUUUCUUCUUACUUAUUUGCAAAAAUCAAAACAAUAUUCACAAACUUUCCUGCACUCUGAUGAAACUUCAAAAGUAAUUAGUUUUUUUAUCAUAAUAUAAAAUUUUCCCAUGUUUUCUACAAAACAUGGAUGCAUCAAAAACCAGCAUAUCGUGUAUGAGAAUAUUCUUCCCAAGUCUGCUUUUAGAAACAUCAACACAAAUAUUUUUUUAUCAGAUGUCUGAACAUAAAGUGACCUCGUCUAAUGGAAGAAUCAGCUGGCCGGCGAUGUUUCGGUCCCAAGAGAUUGAAGAUUUGGGCAGGUACCUUACUCAGCAACAGCCAAGUGGAAACAAUGAGCUCAUUUCGGGAAAAUUUUGAUAAAGAAUUAUUAGGAGUCAGGCACAAAUAUUUCCUUGUAUAACAUUUCAGAGCUCCAGUUAAAGAAACCAGAAGAGUUAUAUUGGGAAAAUAGAGAAAGUGGUAUUGAUGAGUCUUGGCAAUCUGAGCGGUUUUCAAUUAGGACUUAGCUCAAGCAAUCCCUGCCUUCCUGAAAUCUCUAAUGACCUAUUUAAAGUUUGUCAAUUUGCUAUGAGGUUUUUGAGAUUACAAUGGGUGCUGUUGGAGGCAAGUGAUGCACAGGAUGGAGUCUCAUCUAGCCAUCUCAGUAUUAAUCCUGCCUUAAGAUUGCCUAGCUUAUAGAAGAGGAUGAAAAAGGAAAAGAUUAAUUGAAUAGCCUAUGCUGGCAACUUAAAAUGAUAUAAAACAACGCAAGAUUUACUGCCAACCUAUUCUUACAGCUAAUGAUGACAAUUCAGAGCCUGUUUGAAAACUUUCUUGACAGAUUCAGAAGGAUCAAGUGUGGAGAUUGAGAGAGAAUGAAUGCAUUUUCCAAGCUUGCAUAUUAUAAUGUAUCUCAAAUCUGAUAACUUAUUGUUUCUUCUUUUUUUUUGAUCCUUCAGGUUAGUUUUAAGCACGUAGUAAUGGAAUACUCUCCAGCAUCCAAUAGAACGGUGUUAAUUUUUUGAAUGAAUAAUUGUGAUUCAUAAAGAUGUAUACUCGUACAGCCUAAGCCUGUCCAUUUUAGAAGUGCAAUAACUUAUUUGAAAUGGAGAAUGAUAUCUGAAUCUAAAAGGCACAGCAAAUCCAAAAUAUCACAUUAGAAGGCAGAAGAACAGUUCCCAUAAAAAACAAAAAGUUAAAGGUGCAUCAAAAUGCAGAUAAUAUCUCAUUAAAGAAGAGAUCAAGAGGUUAGAGAUUUUCCAAUCAUGUGCUUAAAAAUGACCAAAUGAAUGAUAUCUGAAUGUAAAAGAUGCAGAAAAUCGAGAUUAUCUCGGUAAGAAAGAGAAGACAAGGUUUGAGACGCUCCAAUCUUCUAGUUUAGAAGGACCUAAUGCAAAUUCUAGUCCAGUAGGUUCCACAUCCUGAGAUUUAUAUCAAAGACGAUCUAAUCUAAGCUAUACUCUCAUAUAGUCCCUACAGAGUACAAAAAGACUGCACUUGAGCCCCAAGAAAAUCCUCUCCCGAAAUCUGAAGUCAUUGACAAUUGGAACAAGGCCAUACUGGUCUAUCAUGAAUAUGACAUAGAAUGCGAGUCAACAUGGUCAAACUUCUGAAAUUGCUUGGAGUCCCUCGAUUCUAAUAUAGAGUUUGUGCCAUCAGUACUUUGGACACCAUCAUCCAAUCCACUAUAGGAUUAUGGUUGUGUGUCCGGUGCUGCCAUUAAGUAAAGGAGUGACCCAAUAGAUUUGACUUUGGAGAGAAGCCUGGACUCAUCAGAGACACAGGCAUCCAGAUCACUUGAGUCACUCAAUAAUUGCUCCUCAAUUGAUUGUAGAUCUUGUAUGCCAGCAUGGAAAUUUUCUGUUUCAGCUGUACGAGUUAAUAAGUUAUCAGCAGAGAUGCGUCCAGGAAGAAAAUUAGGAGCUGGGGUCGUAUAGGCGCCCAAGGAUAGUUUUUGGGUUUGGUGCUCUCUUAUGCCAUCAACCCUUCUCAAACUUUGAAUUUCUUGAUUGCAAAGUUGAGUCAUUCCGUUCGGGAUAGGGUUCACCGUGGCAUUGGCACUGUUAAGUGCAAAGUUGUCUGCUUCAUUCAAAAAGUCAAAAGAAAAGGAAAAAAAAGAAAGUCUUAGCUAGAGAUCAUGGUAGUAGAAUAUAAUAUUUAAUGAAAUCAAGGGUUAAUGAAUCGAUAAUUUACGCAAGUUGGAUGUCUUUGGAUUCCAAGCACUUGCAGCUUGAUCCAUAGUUGGUGGGAACUCGAUGACUUGAGAAGGAAAAGAACGAAACAAUUAGCAUUUAUAUCUUGGUUUAGUUACUAGAUGUUCAGGAUAAUUUACCUGAACUUGGUGAAUUCAUUUGUAUAGCUCCAGCUGUUGUUUUCAGCAGUGAAACUGAAUAGUUGGCACAGAUUGAUGGACCAAGAGAUUCAAAAGUCCUGAUACAAGUAGGAGCAUUCAUACUCCCUUGAUUGUUAAUAUGAUGUAGAUGAGGCGCAUACCAGUUGCUGGAUGGUUGAUAGAACAAAGAUGGAAAUCUUGGUUUGAGCAUGCCUAUAUCUUGCAUCUCACUACUAACAGUCCCAAAAAAUGAAGAAUUGAGGCUUGGAAAAGCUCUCUGAUUCAUCAUAAAUAGACGGUUAUCACUACAUAAAAGCCUUUCAUAAUGUUUCUCCAAAGUUCCUUCUAGAAACUCAAGAUAGUGCCACCUGAAAGAAAGAAAAUGCGAAACAAGAUAUGAGAAUAUUACAAAAACUCUACUAAAGAAGUUAUUAUUUUAUUUUUUAUUUGUUCUUCACAUUUUCAGAAGCUCUUCCCAUAGAAGUAGUCUAACAGGACUGAACAUUGAAUGACUGAAGCUCUAAAUCAAAAGACUUACCUACUUCAUCAAUAAAGAAGUACAUUCUUCUAACAAAAAAGCUUAGAAAAAUAACAGAGCUCUAAGAAAGUGAUGUCAGUUUAAUCUUUAUAGACCUGGAUAUGGUUGCAUUCCCUCCACUAAAAUCAGAACAAGCUUCCCAAUUAGUAUGCUUUCUUGGCUGUGGAUUUAUUUCAUUAAAGAACGCGGGCUGCUGCCUUAACUGCACUAUGCACCAAAUAUCUAGUUAUCAAACCCAAGCAAGUCUUUCAAAUUUUGUUAUUAAAAAAAUCAAAUUGUUAAGAAACAUCAACAAACCACUCAAAGCAAAAAAUUAGUAAAAAACAUGUCUAAGACAAACAAAGUAGUCGAUACAGUAAGAAUGUAGCGAACUUAAUCAAUGGAAUAAGAAUAUAUGUUUAAAAAAAUCAUCUAACCUCAACUUCCAGAAUGCCAUGUUGAUCCUGAAUGAAACGUGCUCUGAUUGCUGAGAUGUCAAGCCAUUGGAUCUCAAGCUUUUUUUUCAAUCCAUUUUCUAAUAUCUCCCACACAAGUUUUCGCUUAGCAUAGUAAAACUUAGCUACAAUAUCACCUUCAUUUCUUGACUUUCUCUAAAAUUAUGAAAUAUAGUUAAAAAAAAUGUUAGAUGUUAAAAAGUAAAACUGCUUAGCAAGUUUUAUCCUGACUAUUUGCUUCUAACUUGAUCUAUCAAGUCAAAAUAUAACAUUACCUCCCAACAGCCGAUCUUGAGUUUUGUUGCAGGCAAAUUUGAAGCCUUCCAUUUCACAGGUGUAGGUUGGGUAUUAUAGUUAUCAUUUCUAGUUUUUUGUUCUUCUAUAUUAGUACUCACAGUUGGUUCAUUAUGAGGAGUGGUCUUCUCCUGACAUAGCUUCAUAUGAAUGAGAUCCAAGAAAGUUUGGUUUUUGCAUAAAUUCAAACCAAGAGGACUUGGUACCCCUGUCAUGUCGGUGCAUAAAUCUAUCUGCAUAGACAAAAUAUAGAUAAAAUGGUAUAUAAUUAUCUAUCUGAGAAAUAAGAAAUUCUAGCAAAAACUAACUAUAGAGACUUUAGAAGAAAGCCAAACUUGGUUAAUCUUGUAAUACAAAUAAUUAUCUGUUAAAGCAUCCCUUACAUCGCUACACCGCCCAUGGAAUUUGACCUGCUAGAAACAAGCACUGCCGUGAGUCUACUUAUACUACUCCAAGGCUGAUCGAUAGGCAAGCUGCUAACUUAUUUAAUGAAUUUCCUGAGAGAUCCAAAACAUCUUCAUUGACUGUUGCAACUUCGACUCAAUGGGGAUUGCUCUGUGGUGCUCACCAAACUUUAUCUCCUCUUCUUGUCAGUUGAGUCCCCCACAGUUAGGUGUCUUCAAGAUAAAUUUUGAUGGAGGUGUUGAGACCAAUGGUGCGAGUGCUGGUUUUGUUGUGCAUGAUUAUGAAGGAAAGGCUUUGCUUCUUGGGGGCCUCAUCUUUCUGUAAUUGUUCGGUCACAAAGCUGAGCUUCAAGGAGCUUGGGAGGGUUUGAGGUCUGCUAUUGGCUUCUUCAUGCAGAUUCAUUUGUUCCAUUCCAAAUCAAGGUAACUAAAUUAACUUGACCCACUCAGGUUCAUGCUUCAACUUCAGCGAAGAACCUAAUUUACUUUUUCUCAGCCCUCCCAAACUUCCCAUGUUCCUAAUCCCUAUCUUCCUAAGAACCAUAAACAUCCCCUAAAUCAAUCUAUUUCAAAUUAUUUUUCUUUAGCACAUACAACCUUAUCAAAAUAAAGACAACUAGAUAUUUGUGAUGGCCCUGGAAAUAUCAAAAGAUGAAGGGAUGAGUUUUUUUCUCACGAUUCAUUAUUCAUUUGAUAGUAGUGGAGCUUCAUUUCAUAUACAGCUUGCACCUAAAACAAUUAUAUUAUGAUGAAAAUAUAUAUUGCUUUUCAAAAUAAAUAAAGGAUAUCCACACUAGCUAGAAUAUAUCCUGUUGCCAAUACAUUUGAGGAGAUAUAAAACAUAAAGUCCGUGAAAAAGUUAAAAAGAAAAUUGUACAACAAAAACCUGGAGUAUAUAUACAUUGUAAAUUAAUGCAACUUAUUGGUUGACCUAUACUUAUUAUUGACAUCUUAGGUAAGUUCUUAAAUGCAAGGUCAAAAAAGGGAGGGAAGGGAAUAACUUGAAUAAACUAUGAUUAGGGAAAAAGUUUCUCCCAUAAGUCCUUCCUUGAGGUCCUCUUUAAAGUUUCUCCCAUACCUGAUUCUAUUUUAAUGGAAAAAGGAUUAGGGAAUGUUGCUUAUGAUUGUAUGGGUAUCGUAGCUAAUCAAAUCAUGAACAUCAAAGGACAAUGCUCAAAUGUAACGGCUCGAUUGAUGUUUUUUUUUUUUGGUUUUAGAAAAUUUUCUUUUAUUUUCUUUUCAAAGUUGUGAUUAGCAAGAAAGUUGAGACCUUCAUACAAUACCUGAAGAUGCGGUGGAGAAGGGGACUUUAGAAGGAGGGAGUGAGGAAGAGAACCAAAAAGAAAAGAAACCCUCAGACCUAUGCAUGAUGGUCCUAUCAUUUCUCAUUUAUCUGCAACAUGUCUGUGUAUGUCUGCUCAGUGUUCACAAUACUGGUAAAAAGACCUAACAUGACAUUCUUUUUCAGAUAAGGUCAUACAAAUUAAAUCAAAAUUUCACCAAUAGAUCUAAAAUUCCUCCUGGCCAUCCAAUCAGCAACAGUCACUAAACAGAGAAAGCUAAUAAUCCAGUCUUUUUAUAUGUCUAUAUAUUUAAAAAUAAAGAACAGACCUUUUGUCUCUUGCAAUUUGACUCUGGCUCUUCAGGCCUAUCUUGUGGUCUGCUCUCUUCGGGACUUUGUAGCCCAUCCAAACGAAGAAGUACCUUAUCUAACACACUGUUAUAGCUCCCCUCUUCCUCAGCCCAUUCAUGACUUCCUUCUGACCCAACAACACAUUCACUCAUGGUCUAGAAAAAAAAAAAUCUAUAGAUCAUAUCUAACAUACAACCAUUUAACCAAUCUUAAAGAAUAGAAAUCUAAUGGAUUGAAAUUUUUUAAAAAAAAGAGAGAGAAAGAGAUAAGAAAACCUUUACAAAUGGCAAGUUUUUAAGCAAUAGUGGCAACAAUGGCCAAUAUUAUGACGCAGUUUUCUAUCUGAAUGAGGUAAAUACAGGACUGUUAAGCAAUAUUGAAGCAAUACCUAAGUUUUCUAUCUGAAUGAGGUAAAUACAAGAUUGUUGAGCAAUAUUGAAGCAAAAAAUAUAUAUAUCGAUCUUUUACAAGCAGGAUUUCGAAGCUAUCCACUCAAGAGUUUCAACCAGAAGAAUACCAACUAAUAGGAUGACUUUAGAUGAUAGAAGAAAUAAAAACAGAACCGAGAAGAAUCAAUAAAGAAGCUUUUACAAGCAAACACCGGAUCUAUUCCUAAUAACAAAAUCCAAUCUUCAAUCUGAGUCAGCUACCAAUUUAUCCGAGUCAGCUACCAAUUUAUCCGAGUCUAACAACAAGGAACGGUAACCAGUGACAUGGUAGAAUAAAGAGCUAGGAAUCAGAGACAAGAAAACUAACUUAUAAUCAAGUAAUCAGAGAAAACCGACAACAAAAUCCAAUCUUUGAACUCUGCUUCCAAGACAGGGGAGGCCGUAGGGAAGGAAGGCAAGGGAAGAAGGGAGGGCGGGUGGCGGGUGUUUGCUAGGCUCGCCGAAGGCCCUUUUUAAUACCCAUGGGACGGUGCCACCUCCGGAGAGGCGGUGCGCGCGGGCGCGCGGGACGGCUUCACGGGGAGGGUGAACGGUUGAGAUUGAAGCGGGGAAAAUCGGACGGCAUCUGCCGACUUCUCGCAUGCGACCUGUUCGGAAGAUACUGUUGAGAGAACAAUUAGUCAACAAGUAAAUAUAUUUAUAAUCAUGAUUUGCAGUAAUUUAUUUCUUUUUUUUCUAGAAUACGAAGUUAUCUGCCGAAUCUGUAUUUGCUAUGUUUUAUGAAUUGAUAUAUGAAUUUCUUUUGUUUGAACCAAAGUUUACCGUACCGAUACUGGACUCCAUAUUAGUGCCACACUAGCAUAGUGUCGUUAAGAUGCGGUAUGGUUGGCGUACCGAGAACCGGUAUGCCACCAGUACCAAAUUAGUAUGGUACAAUACAUACGGUACUGAAUCGGUACGGUACGAUAUAUCAUGGUUGGAACUUAGGUUCACUGGAUGCAUCAUAAAUUCUGUGUUAUUUAUUAGAUUGAGAAAUUGAUUUUAUGUUUGAAAAGAUACAUGCAUAUUUCUAGUGGAUCUUGAAAUAUGUACUAAUAAUUAGAUUUAUAAUAAAUGGACUAUUCUGUUAUUUAAUGCAAUAUUGUUCCAUUUUUAUGAUCCAAUUGCUGUGGAGCAUUACCUGAAGAUGACUUGCACUUUGGCAAUAUAUGCAGAUCAUCAAUUUCGACCCAGUCAAAUGUUUUAUUAUUCAAUGUAUGCUUUUAUCAUUUAGUUCUCACCAGACAUUUUUAUUAUUAUUUGAAUUCAAUUAAACUGUUCAAUAGCGGGAUUUCCAAAUAAAAUAUCAAUAUUUGUCAUUGUAUCAAAAUAUUUUUUGCACGAAAGAUAUUAUCACUCCCAAAGAACCUCCUCUAUUCUCUAAGUAUCAUCAUGUCUUGGGCAUCAAACGUCUCCCGCCAGAUACUAUUCAGCAAGAGAAUUUUUUCGUUUUUGUUAUUUCAAAUCGGAGCUAGGUCACGAACCAAGACCCAUAUGCGAUGCAACUAUAUAUAGUUCUCCGAGGUGGCUUCGAACGAAGUGCAGCUUCGUAUGAUUCGAGCAGCUCAUCGUCGAGUCCUCCAGCAUCCUUCUCUACUUGGCGCCUAGGUCAAGCAGGUCCUCAGCGACAACAGGCAUCACAAUAUCAGUUAUAGUUUUAUAUCUUUUGGGCUCGUUUGGUUCGCGGAAAAAGAAGGGGGGAAGUGUGGUCAAUGGGAAAGUAAUGAGAUGCCUCUUGUUUGGUUGGAGUUUUCAAAGCAGAGAGAAGGGAAAGUUGAAUUCCCAUAGGAAUAUGAUUCUCACAUUUCAUGGGAAAGUAACUUUCCCAUGUACUCCAUUUUUACUUUUUCCCAAAAAGUCCCUUCAGCAUUAAAGAAGCAUUAAAGAGACAUUAAAAACCUAAUUUUUAUUAAGAGCAUAAUAGGAAUUAUACAUAACUUUUCUAGGAAAGUGAAUGGCCAACCAAACAUAAGCACUCACUUUGGAAAUUUGUCACUUUCCCAUGGUCAACCAAACAUGCCAAAAGUACUUUCCUAGGCAUCAUUUUUCUAGGAAUUUGUUUCCCAGAAAUCAUAUUUCUAGGAGGGAAAAUGCUUCCCGCGAACCAAACAAGCCCUUUAUGAUUUCUAUACGACAAUCAACAUUUUGCCACUCACAUAACAUUGCUACUGUGAAAUAUAAUAUUAAUAAGUGAAAACGAUUAAGUUGUGGUACAUUUGGCAAAUAUCUAGCACAAUCCUAUCCGCUUGCACGCUUUUGCUUUUGCUAUUCAAUACACUAACCCACUCGCGCAAUGUCUGGCUUCGAGGGAGUGGGGUCAACUCGAAUGGCUUUUUAUCCACUUGUUGGAUAUGUUCGAGCUCUUUAUCACCUCUCUAGUCACUUCCCUCUAACUGCGAGGGAGUGAGAUCCACCAAUCAAUUGGAGAGUAGGUGAAAGGGGAGGCACCUCCUUUGUGUAUUCUUAUUUGCCCACCAUGAGCCGCCAUUGCCAUGUCAGCAAGCUGGCCACGUCGACAUGCAUAUCGAAUGCAGACCUAUGUGGAUGAUGUCGCGCCAAACUACCAUCAACUUGGGCAAGAUGGGACUCUCAAGAUGGAAUUCCUUCUACUAAUAGAACCAUCAAUCCCACAACUUAAAAAAUAAAAAAAAAAUUGCAUAAGUGAAGAGAGGUUAUCCGCCCACAUCCUUUCUUCUUUUUCGUUAGACUUUUCUCCUCAUCCCAGAGUUAUUUUCUUCUCUCACGAAUGUUCGUCUUUAUGAAAUCAUUCAAAAUAUAAUGUUCAUUAGUAUAUAACAUAUGGCUAGAUGAUACGCACCUAGCAAAAUAGUUAUCUAAUGUUCCAAUAUACACCUACAAGUAAAUCGUACAUAAUUUUAGAAUAUGAUGUUCACUAGAACAUACCACAUGACCAGAUGAUACACAUCUAGCAAAAUAGUCAUCAAACACCGCAAUUUAUAACACUACGUAAAUUGACAAUUUUCAGAACAUGGUGCUCACUCGUAUAUAUUACAUAAUCAGAUGAUACACACCUAGUAAAAUAGUCAUCUAGCAUCCCAAAAUGCGCCUUUAGAUAAAUAGAUAUACAAUUUUUAGAACAUGAUGUUCACCGGUACAUAAUAUAUGGCUAACUGAUACACACUCAUCGGCUUCUUGAUAUAUAGUGUAAGCUUCUUCGAUACAUACCCAACAGCAAUCCAAUACUCAUAUCUAGAUAUAUAAAUCGAUACGAAGCUUCUAUAAUUUGAUAUUUAUAUGAACUUGUUUUUUUUUUGCAUGGCAGCAUACUAAUAGUAACAACAUUUUUUUGGACCUACCAAGACCAUUGUCACUAUGGGAAGUUGACCCUCCAAAAGAAUGGCGUUGGACCUAUACUUUAGUCACUAGCGGCAGUGGGCUUCAAGAGGAGGUGCCUGCCCUGCCAAAGAAAUAUGGUUUGGCUUCUAGGAAAUUGAAGAUAGUGGCAUUAAUGGAGAGUUGGGAGUAAACUGCAUCCCAACUCAAAUUGGCCAUAGUGGAAAGGAGGUGGAGACGGGUUGACGUGAUGAAUGUGAAGUCUCUCUCAAGAGCCAUUGUAGAGCUGAAGUCUGAGGAGGGUCUGUGUGUGGACCUACCAUCCCAACUCCCGGCUUUUCCACUGCUAAUAUAAGUGGUGGAAUAUUGCUUUUCCAACAUGGAUUCCAUGAUGGCAGCAUGGUAUUCUAGUUCCCGCAUGGACUUCAAUGGUUGCCCGAGCCAAAGUCAGGAAGAUGAGGUUGAGCCCACAAUCCCUUUCCAUGGCUUUUAUCCGAUAGAGGCCCCAUCACGAGCACCCCUUUUAAGUGAAGAAGAAACUUCAUGAGGAAAAUGCUCAAGCAAGUCUUCAGUGAGACUGAUGGUCCCAUGGCCAUUACUGAGGCUUUUGGCACUUUCAGUCUGAACUCCAAUAGCAUUUCAUCAUCGUGGAACGCUGACUGGCGAAGUCAGCAAAAUUAUCUUAUCCAUGAGUUUUUGGUAGGUAUUUUGUGACACUAUUAAUCAUGCAAUGUGCAUCACAUUGGAAGAAUGGCAUUAUUCAUGGCUAAAAAUAUCUAGCAGCUAGAUUGCACUCUUUGUCAUCGCAUUGGAUGGUCCAUUUAAAACUAGCAGUAGGACACCCCUUACUACAGCAUUAUGAGUGAUCAGUUCAAUUUUGUUAUAGCAUCAAGGGACAAUUUAAGAUACAGAUUUAAGAACCAUUCGCUAAUUCAAAGAAUGCAUCCUCCAACCAUCCACCCUAGAACACCGUCAAAUUGUGUGAUGAUGCUUUUCAGUGUUGAAGAUCGUGAAAUUAAAUUUAAAUUAUCUGUUGAUAAAAGAAAGAGACACUGUUUAUAAAGUUUUCCCCUUCCCUUGGAUAAAAGUAAGUGAACAGGAACUAAUUCUAACUCCCACACGACGAGAAAAAGUAAAAGAAAAAAAAUGAUCCCUUUUGGCCGAUGUAUAUUGCUAGUAUCAAGAAAUAAACAAGACAAAUAAAAAAAGACUAAUUUGUAAAGUUCUAGUAUUUAUAACACAAAUGCCCUAAAUGGAACGAAAUGACUGCUCAAAUGCGAAGCUCUACCAUACAAUUUUUUCAUGCUGCGCCUAUUCAAGGAGAAAAACACAAGUUGAAAGUUGAAACUGAUCGAGCAAAUAUGAUCGAAAAAAUAAUCAGCUAUUAUCAUAAAUUCGAAUGAAUAGAAAGUUUACAUUUUGAGAGUAGUUUACAUUGAGUGUCGACCAAGACAAGAAUGCAAAAAUAAUGAACUUGUAUUUUGACCUCUGACCACCUCCAAAUACAAUCACCACAUGCAGGCAGCUCCCUGGUUUUUCGCAAAGGUUGUAAGAUAUAAUUAAUAAAUAAUCUUCACGCAUCAGUACAUAGCUUGCAACCAAUCAAAAUCAUGGGUGUUAUGAGUAGCUUGUUUGAUGAAUUGCUUAUGACCUACGUAAAAGUCUAGCUCUCUUCGAGAUUCGCCUGUAGUGGCUGCAUUAUGAAGAACUUGUUAGAACCGUAAGCGCUGCCAUCUCACUAAAAUCCGCCGAUAAUAGUGAAGGCUUAACCAUGGUCUUUAAACCGACCAUCCCAAGCGCCUCCUGGCGUUCGAUUGCGACUUGGCCCACACCGGCCUCCGCCGCAGGCGAGCCUUGCUGACUUGAUCCGCACCGGCCUCCAUCAACAAUCCUCCCAGCAAGCGAACCUUGCUGACUUGGCCCACACCGGCCUCCGCCAACAAUUCCCUCCCCCCUAAGCAAGAGAGUUUUUUUUUUAAUCGCUUAUCCUGGAAAUCGAACUCGGGCCGCUGGCUCUGAUACCAAUUGUUGGCCGAGUCCCACCUUAUGUGAGGUGGGACCCAGCAAUUUAAAUAAAAAAAGAAAACAAAAAGAGGGAAAAGAGGGGUUAGGGUUUAUUAUUCUAUUAGAGGGUGGAUGAGAAAAAAAGAGGGCAAUCGUUUUGGUGAAGUGCCUAUGGAAUCCAUCUCAAGGAGGAGGUGAAGAUCUUAUUCAAGGCAUCUCAAGAGGAAGAAGAACCUUGUGCAAAUCUACACUCGGUGAGAUUGUUCUCAUUUUUAUUAUUGGAGCCUAAACUCUUUUUCAUAUAAACUCUUUAUUUGUGAUCCAAUAAAGAGAUCCUUGAUGUAUGUGAUCCUCUAACUUAGCCUAGAGAAGAUAUUUUGUAAGCCCAUUAUUAUUGAUAGUGAAGAUUUGUGGUGGACUUAGGUCCGGUGGGUUUUUUNNNNNNNNNNNNNNNNNNNNGAACCUUGUGCAAAUCUACACUCGGUGAGAUUGUUCUCAUUUUAUUAUUGGAGCCUAAACUCUUUUUUCAUAUAAACUCUUUAUUUGUGAUCCAAUAAAGAGAUCCUUGAUGUAUGUGAUCCUCUAGCUUAGCCUAGAGAAGAUAUUUUGUAAGCCCAUUAUUAUUGAUAGUGAAGAUUUGUGGUGGACUUAGGUCCGGUGGGUUUUUUUCCUCCUCAUAUUGGAGGGUUUUCCACCUAAAAAUUAUUGUCUCUUACUUGUGAUUUGAUUUUUUGGUAGUUCUUACAUUGAUUAAUUAUUAUGGCAUUCUCAUUCUACUCACACAAAGAUAGAAAAAUUGUUCAUCUAGUAAAAGGGUAUUUCCUAACAGAACUCACAUGGAAUUUGUCAUAAAGAAAACAAUAAUGUGUGACAACCCAAUGCAGGUGAAUCGGAGACAGAUUUGUGGUUUAGAGUUGCUUCCGAAAGCCAGAUCAAUUAUUUGGUCGUGAUAAUCUACAAAGUGACUUUGAGGCCUUACUUCACAUUGGCAGCCAGCUCAUCAAAAUCUCCUGCUAGCUGAUGGGAAUACGAGAGUCUUCACCUACUUCUGUUUAGUAGGUAUAAACAUUUUACAAACUAGCAGAACAAAACUCAGUCGCAGAACAGCAUUAAUACUAAAUAUUUCCCGGUGUUAUUUUUUAAUGGUAAAUCAUAGAGCACACAGAUCAAAGGUAAGCCUAUAGAAAAACUUCUAGAUUCAAUUAAUGGUAAAUCAUAAAGCACACAUCAAAGAGAGAUAAGAUGAAUUUAAGGACAGUGAGUAUGUGGGACAUCUGCGGUUAGAAACUAGAAGAAGAAUAAGAAACAUGAAAAAUAAUCAUGAAAACAAACAACGAACUUCCGAGUAUUAUGCUCAUAAUAAUGAACUUCCAAGUAUUUUGCACACAUAUGUUCGCAUGCAGAUUUCAGAUGGAUGCUACCCGAAACUAACAAUUACCGGGCCGAAGUGACCAAGUCCUCAAACGUGAAUUCUAGAAGCCUGCAAAAAAAAAAGUUUGGUCCUGACAAAAGAAUCUCGCCUUUGCACCUUACAAUUAAUAGAAAAACAAUAUUUAUACGUUUGCCAUUACGUCAUCUUCAGCUACUGAAUAAAAUUUUAAAAUGUAUUUCGACUGACAAUUUUAGACCAUGUGAAAGGCCAGUGCAAUUUUUUUUAUCAUGCCGUCCGAAUGAGCUGUGAGGCAUCUCACUACUUUGUUUUAUACAAAAUCAUGCAUCUAGACUAAGUUUCUACGUGAGAAUAUUCCAAUAAGUUAUCUUCUUAUCCUCACAACCUCUCCCGUCUCCACGUCGCCGUUAAACGAGGUAGUAAUACCACCGUUCCAAACAAUGGGCUUCCUUCAAAACCCAAUCACUUUGUACCUCAUAGUUCCCAACAAUGGGCUUCCUUCGAAACCCCACCACUUUGGCACUUGGGAAACCACACCACUUUGGUUACUCCAUACACCUUCAAAAAGGAAUACCAGUCAUAUUUACCAACCCAUGGUUUUCUAGAGUAAAAUAAUACAUACUACGCCAAUUAUUAUUAUUUUUGGAAAAAAUAUAUUAAAGCACUAUAAUAUUAUUUCUUAAUAAAAAAUAAUUGAUAGUAAGUAUCAGAUAGUAUUAUUAUUUAAUUUUGUUAAUUUUAUACAAUAAAAUGGGUAGAUUUUAGAACAUCAAUUAAGAUAUUGAAAGAUGGUAAAUCUUUUCGAUUUUUUUUUAUCUUUUGUCUUCAUCUUUGUUCAAAUAAGAAUAAGAUUUUGGUACUACAUACAUCUUUAAAAAGAAAUACCAGCCAUAUUUACCAACUCAUAGUGUUCUAAAAUAAAAUAAUACAUAAAAAUAUGUUAAAGCACCAAUGAGAAGCUAUUUCACCUUACUAAUUAAAUUAGUAAUGUGAGGCUGGCAACUUUACAAUCAAUCACCCCUCUAUAAUUCAUUAAUUUUAACUAUAAGACCAAUUCCCUAAGGUCACAUGGUAAAUAAAAAGUAUGCAUGACUGGCUGGCUAUAACAUUCUUUCAUAAUAAAAAAUAGUUGAUAGUAAAUAUCAGAUAGUAUUAUUAUCUACUUUUGUUAAUAUUUAUACAAUAAAAUAGGUAGAUUUUAGAUCAUCAAUUAAGAUAUUGAAAGAUGGUAAAUAUUUUCUUUUUUUUUUAUUUUUUGUCUUCAUCUUUGUUAAAAUAAGAAUGUGAUAUUGGUUUGUUGCUGGAAAUUGGACCCGGGGGCGGCCGUUGGCUGAGGAGGAGGGGCUCCGGGAGGGUUUGGCGAACGGCGGCGAUCCAGCGAUGUGCGGCGUCCUCCGGGGGACCUGCAAGAAGCCGGUGGCCGGGCUUUUCCGGCGCCGGCCCUCUGAUGCUUAAGUCAGAGGGGGGAAGUGUACAAGCGGAGGUAGAAAUCAAUAGUCAGAAUCUCAAUCUUCCGACCCCCCUUUAAGAUGGAGAAAUUCCUCUUUUAUAGAGGGGGCUGGGUUACCUGUGAUGUGACGGGACAAACGGUCUAUCGUACAAUUGGGCAUGCAGUAGAAAUUAAUGCUCGAUUGUGUGAAUCAAUGUUGUUACUGUUGGAGAUUAGGCCAAAGCUCUUGAGUCGUCGUGGAGUCGUGCCAUCAUUCAUAAUCAAGCAGGUUUGUCGUAAGAGGCUUGAUGUCCGUAGGCAACGGGAGCCAUACGCUUUGAUGGUUGAGUGAACAGGAUACCUGCAGGACCCAUACAUAUUAAUUGUUGACGAAAGCAACACGUAGUCUUUCGGUCGCGCUGCGGGGGAUGUGACCUCAGCGCGCAGGUUGGGCGUUUUUGAGUUGGUAGAGCUGUUCGGGUGCUUCCAGGUCGAAGGGGGUCUACUCGACCGUCUACAGUCGGAGGGGAUCCGCUCGGUCGGCCCCCGCUCGGAGGAGAUCUGCUCGACCGGCUCCUGCUCGGCGGGUCUGCUUAGUCGGCCUNNNNNNNNNNNNNNNNNNNNNNNNNNNNNNNNNNNNNNNNNNNNNNNNNNNNNNNNNNNNNNNNNNNNNNNNNNNNNNNNUAUGGUUCAUCUCAAUCUCUGUCACCAAAGGAUAAUUUGACUUGUUCUAACACGUUGUUUAUUAUGCCAGAUUAUUUAUUUAACAAAAUAAUCAAAUUUAGAUUUGAAUUUUUAAUCUAUUUAAUAAAUAUAUUGAGUCUGGAUUGGUAGAUUUUGUAUCCAGUCCAAUCGAUAUCUUGUUUGACCGAUCAUUACGGAUUGACCUACAAUUUAACCGCUACCAUCUCAUAACGUUGCUUGUUUUGGACCCUGCUUCUGGAAUACCUGCGGUUUUCGAGGUUUAUCCAACCAUAUCCAUGAAAAAUCUAACGGCCGUUUUGACGGUCGGAAGCUUCCACCCGAUUCUCCAAAGCCUCGCCGCGACUCCCACCUACCCUUCUGGCUGCCAUAAAAUAUUUAAGGAAAAUAGUUAAAUAUAUCCAAAUCUUAUUCCCAAAGUGCCCCUCUCCCUAUCUAUAAAUAGCCCUCCCUGAUAGCCCGGAAACCUUCUUUCGUUCGUUGGCUUGCUUUAUUGGUGUUCUGGUUUCUCUUCCAGCUAAGUAUUUUUCUUCUAUUCCUCGUUUUCUUUCAGUUUAUCCUUUUUAUUUAUAGCCAAUUUCAGUUCCUUUCUGUUCCAUUUCUCAAGGCUAUUUUGGGGGAUUUUCUUUGAUUUCUUGGUUGAUCUCCCUCUUUGAUUUCUUGGUUGAUCUUGUAAAACCAGAAACAAAAUCCCAACUCUUCUUGUUGGUUUUGGUUUCUGGGUUGAUCUCGUGCCCCAAAAUCAGAUCUUUUAAGGUUUACGGAAAUCCCCUGUUUCCAAUAUCUCAUAUUUUCUGGUGGAUCUUUUUAUCUGAAGAAAUCUCUGUUCCAAAAUUGUUCUUUUGGGGUCUGUAUUUGGUUUUGGAGAACACCCAGUUUCCAAAAUCUGAUCUUGGAUAAGAUUCCAAGCCCCGUGAUAUAUCCAGGUUUCUAGAUCCCCUGUUCUUGCUGUUUGGUUGGAUUUCUGGUGCUCGCUGCAUUAAUCUUCCAAUAGAUCACCCUCUUUGCUCAUAGAAACGGGUCUUCUGUUUAUAAUUUAAAGCUCUGCCCUUGAUCUCAAUGUUCUCGGGCUUGAUUCUGUCGAUAAUCUUUCUUUAGCCUUUAUGAAUUUCGCUUCUCUUCGCCGCCGCCGCGUCUGCUUUCUCCAGUCUUACUCAGUAGUGUUCCUUUACUGGUUCUACUUCUUCUCAUAAAGUAGACCUCAUCGUUCGAUCGGUUCAACUCAAAGCAAGCACCAAAUCUCCUCCAAUUUAGUUUCUACUAACUUUAAUUUGAUCGAAGAGCUCCUUCGAAAGAGAAUGUCUCCAUCUCCGGCUUGCCAAUCUUCCGGGUCCGAAGGCGGUCCCCAGCUCGUGGUGGAUGAGAGGAAGCGGAAGAGGAUGCUCUCAAACAGGGAGUCCGCAAGGAGGGCCCGGAUGAGGAAGCAGCAGCGUCUCGAUGAGCUGACAAACCAAGCAGCUCAGCUUAGGAAUGAGAAUGAGCAGAUCGUCAUGCAGGUCAAUUUGAUCACUCAGCAAUACCUCAAGCUGGAGUCAGAGAACUCUGUUGUGGGAGCUGAGGUGAUGGAAUUGACUGAGAGGCUGCAAUCUCUGAAUUCGAUGCUCCAAAUCUUCCAGGAGGUCAGCGGGAUGGCGAUGGACAUACCGGAGAUACCGGACCUGCUCCUGAGGCCAUGGCUGCUCCCUUGCCCGCCCAGCCAAUCAUGGCCUCUGCAGACUUGUUCCAGUUCUGAAUCAUGAGCUCCUUGAGAAGUCUAGUUUGCUUGGUUUAGACUUCAGAGUUUACUGUAUUGCGAGUUCAGUGAUGUGUUGCAUGUGUUUUCUUCUUGGGUCUCAGACGGAGUUAUGUCUAAUUACUUUGUGUUUGUAUGUUUUGUGUUUUAAUUCGCAGCAUGGUGUGGACUUGUGUUUGAUCUAACAUUGCCUUUCAUGACAUGGUAUUGGGUGUUGAAAUGGUUGUCUGAUAUGGUGGAAGUAUGAGAUUGUUCUUCAUGGUUUGGUUUGAGUCCAACCAUUUGGAUGCAAGGGGAAUUUUUGUUAAACUGUGGUAGAUCACAAUUGCUUUUGAAGUAUUUCAAAGAAUAUUUUGGUGGUGGUUCAAGCCUGGUGCUGAAUAUGCUUCCUAGUCUUUGCUUGGCCUGAAUUCCACAUUGUUAGCAAGCAUUUGUGUACAUCAUUGCUCCAACUGUUUUCUGCUUAUUAAUGUAGUUCCAGAUGGAUGUGCAUUCUUCUGCAACAUGUUUAGAGACACCUGAUUUCUGAUGCACUUUUACCCAUGGUUGGUUUGAUCAUUCGAAGGCCAAAAUAAUCCUGCCUUCUUGAUUCAAAUUAAAAGAUAGUCAGAUACUGUAGUUGAUAGACUUCACAUGGUUGAAUUAGUGAUUCAUUUGCUAGAUAUAAUCCUGUUUUAUCAAAAUAAACACAUCGUUUGCUGUUGGAAAUAAUAUUUGCUAUUGAACAAAGUUCUGGAAUCAGUUUGUUAGUUCUCCAGAACUGGAGUGGAAUCAGUUUGUUAGUUCUCCAGAACUGGAGGUUAAGUCUCAAAGCUUAUUAUCUCCUUGCAGCUUCUUGUUUCACAUAAGUUCAAAAUCUUUAAGUUUUGGACUGAAAGCCAGGACUUUGCAAUCUGUUUAACAUAAGUUCAAAAUCCCUGACUUUGUUCUGGGGUCUUUUUUUUUUCAGAACUUUCAGUUCUGCUUUAUGCUUGGUUCCGUUAAAUUUUCAACUCGAGUGCAGCUCUGAUACAUCUAACACAAGCUUAUAACUGUGUUCCUGGUGUCAUCUUGUAUUAAUGGUGCCAUCCAUCUUCCACUGCUAUACGAGCUAAGUUCUCAACCAUGGAUGCGAAUUCGAAGCAAAGUGGAAUGCCUUUUGUUUGUUUAUUUGUUUGUGUAUGUGUCAUUGGUUUUUAUUAUGAGAAACAUGAUGAGAAUGUCACCUUUUCCCUUUGAAGCCAAACCUCUCUACAGAAAACGCAUGUAGGAGAGUGGUGGUACUGAUCAAAUAAACCAAGUGCUGUUUGCUUUGGUUGGUAGGAUGUCAAGUUCAUUAUAUUGUAAAUGGCUCUUAAACCUCACUACGCUGCCAAAUUGUUUCAACAGUUUGUUCUAGUAAAGUUAGCAGCAUCGUUUUUGUUAUGGCUGGAGUAGAACUUCUGGAACAAUUAGACACCCCCCAGGCUUCUUAUAUGACUAUUACACCCAGAUACUAAAUUACCAUAAGCAAGUAAAACAAGAGAAAUCAAAUGUAAUAUGGCCCUUCGGUAUAAGGAUUCGAAGUGAAAUAUAGACAAGUGGAUUGGAUUCUUGGAUGUCAUCAAAAAACUUAUGUCAAAAUUGGCCGAUUGGCACCGCUGUAAGCAACAUCCGAGUUGAACUUGUGCCUUUAUGUUGGCAUCCCGUUGGUUAACUCAAGGUUUUGUAGAAACUACUCAUAUCAAUUAAAUAGUCCAAGAAGGAAGGCAAGGUCCAGAUAUCUGUUAAAAGUGCUGUCAAAACAAUUAGGAAAUGCGAGAUUAGGCAAUAAAACAUGCGAGGAUCCCAAUCCAAUAUUUGGACUUAAACUCAAUACACCUGUCUUACCAAAACAAAUUAAAAAAAAAAUUUAGAUACACUUAGGGGCAUCUUCUUCUCCCCCUGUAAAAUAUUGCAGAACUUCCCUGGCAUCUCUUACUAAUGGAUUCUUUUAUGCUAAACAUGCACGAACGUUUUAUGACCACUGCAUGCAUAAAUUGACAUGGACUAGUGACAUCAAUCUAAUAACUCCUCUUUCUUUUUGCUCUCAUGGUUUGCGAACAUUUUGUGACCUUUCAUAUAUAUUAAAAUUAGAUUUUUACUUGGAUGCUGAACUCUGGCAUGCGAGAAUCUAAAAACACAGAGUCUGAGCCUGUUAUGGCAGACUAAUAUGCAUCUAUUUAGUCAAGAUAGUUGAUGCAUAAUGCCGAACACCAUAGCUAGAAUUUUGACCUUGAGGAACAAUUAAUUCAGUUAAAGGCAGAAAAUUCAUGUUUCAAAAAAUGCAGAAAAUUUGUGAAAAAUUCAGAAAGAAUUAAAAAUUCGUAUCUGAAUAUGUCUAUUCAUAUAAAUAAAGUGUUACAUUGAUGAAUGAUGAACAACUAAUCAGUCAACGACAAUCCAUACAAUGAGGUCAAGUGCCUAAUCAGUCACUCUUAGGAUAAGGAAGAUGUGUCUGGGUGGCAGGAACCCCAAUGUUAGAAAUUUUGAUGGCCUAAAAUUUUGUUAAUAUGGGUAUAUAUAUAUAUGGAUUAAUUUAGUCUUUUUUUUCUUCUUUGUGCUGAAACAAGCACAAGAGAUUCAAAAGAAUGAUAAACAUUUAUAAAAGCAUCACCAUUUCAUGCAACACAUAGGCUAGCAUCAUCACUUUGUAAUUCACAAGCUUUUCAUAAACUACGCAUCAACAAUAUAAAAUAAAAAUAAAUCAAUUUAUCAAGAAAAAGAAAGAAAGAAUAGUUCAAUGCCUAUUUUAAAAGUCCAGAGAAUAUUGUUGCCACCAUGUUAGCGGUAACUUCAAUUGAAGAAAUAGUAACCUUAAAUAAUAAUAAAGAGCCACAUGAUGCAGCUGUGCAUCCUAAUAAAAGCUCCCCUGCAAAUUACUAAGAUAAGGCUCAAUAUCUAAAUUUAUCUUCAAAAUUUCUUAGAAGUUAGAAUCCUUUCUUCUUGGACCAAACUAGAUGAGAGAUCUUCAGACCUCCCAAACCACAGAGGACACAACUUAUUGAGUGGCCAUGAAACACAUAUUCCCUACCUUGAAUGCGAUCACUUUGCUGUCUCCUUUUGUAUGUAACCCCAUUCAAUAAUAAAAUGAUCACACAAUACCUUACCAAAAAAAAUUGCCAAACCAAAUAACCAGAACAUAAGACACAAAAGUAUCUGUCAACAGUGGGCAAUAAGAUACAACGUAGUAAUCAUUAUAUAGCACGCUUCACCAAGUAGAGAUCGAUUUACCAUGAUCACCAUCAUCAAUCAAUCAUCGACCAUGCAAUGAUGCUAUGCUGUGCUUUAAUAACAGAGCACGUAAAACAUAAAAACUUGCAUAUGUGGGAAACAGUUCAACCCUAAAGAUUACAUGCACCCUACCAUCAAGCAAGGCACAAACGCCAAAGUUUCUUCUUCUUUACUACUAAUUAAGGGAUGAUUAUUUCUUCUUCCUUGUGUGGUCUUCAGUCCUCGUAGGUGCGGCACUCUUCGGUCUCGGGGUUGUCCUUGCAGUAAUCCUCGAGGGGAUCGGAGUCCUUGAGCUUGUCGCGCGCAUGGCUCGCCGCUGCGCUGAGCUCCUCCACCUCGUCCCAUGCUGCUGCGCACUCGCCGCUCACCUCGUUGCCUUCGCAUGCCUCCUCUGCCUUCUUUAUGCUAUCCGACACCUUCUCCGAUAUGCCCGGAGGGGUCGACGGUGAGCUCGCCACAAGCACCAUGCGGCGGCCUAUCGGUGUCCGGUGGCCAGCAGCCCAUGGGAGGAUUCUCCCAUGGAGUGGUUGUUGUAGCUUGGAAAGCUCUGCCUUCUUGGAGGCAACCUUUGUGGUGGAGAGGCUCACGCCGGCCAGAGUGGUUGCCAUGGCUAUCUCUUGUUGUUGGAGGGAGUGUUACCAGGCGCAACAAACCAAGGGAUGGUGCAAUGGGAGGAAGAAGGCUGGACGCAAGGGGAAGGUGGUGAUAAGCCCUCUUGAGUGGGUGGUGUGCCUUUGGGGACGCACGUUUCUUAUCAUUUGGUGGCCAAUGGGAGGGUUCCAAGUAAGCGCAAGCGUAGAUAUUUUUUUUUGUUGGGGCAAAUCUAUUGGUAAAAGAUCCUGGGGUGUGACUGUGAACCAUCCACGUGGAAGAAUUUGGAAGCAUCAAGCUGUGAUUGGGUCAGGUCCGAUGGGUGAUGGGUGACGAAGUUUGAUAAGGCCGACGAAGUUUGGCACAACCAAUCACAAACUAACUAAGACAAAAUUUGGCAAGACCGACUAAAUUUGGCAAUGAUUAAUUUUUUUUUAUUUUUUAAUUAAGUACUUCUCCAAAUAAUUUUAUCGAUUCAAACUGAGAAAUAUUCGAUGAUUCAUGAAUUAUAUGAUUUGUUAUUACAAGAAUAUAUGCUUUUUCUCAUAAGAUUCCAUUGAAGCGACGAUUGCACAAUCCAAUGAUGGAUUCUAUGGAAAGGUUUUUUUAGAGUUAAAUCUCCUUCUAACAGCUCAAAUGUUUCAGAGCCUCUACCAAGAGUGCAUGGUCAAAGCCCAACAAUUGCUAAAACUUUAGAAGAUUCACUGUCUUCGGUGCAUCAACAUAUACAUAAGGAUGAGGAUACGGGUAUUCUCAACAACCAAUUUGGAUAAAGUUGAACGAAGAUUAGUUUAGUAUCCGCUAGAACAUUGGUCUUAUUUUGGUAGAAGUGAUAUAGAUGGAAGCUAGUGAAAAAAUUCUGGAAGAAAGCAGGCAUUAUGAGAAUUUGUUGUUCACGGAAACAAGAGAUGACUGCAUAUUCACAUACAAAUCCUUUAUUGAAUCAUCGACAAAGCGGAGUGCUAAUCAUGCAUCAAUUCACCAAGAUUUUUUUUUUUUUUUCUAAACGUCAGCUAAAAAUCGUGCAUCACUCAACGCCAUGUAAUUCAAUCUGCAAAGAAAAGGUUGCACCAUUGAAUGCCAUCAAAUUAUCAUGAUUUUAUGCAUAUAUGUAUAUAUCCACGCAUGUUCUUGACUACCAUAAGUUCAUAACCAAUACAGUGAAUGAGGGGGUCACUCAAAUCAAUUCAACCUGCAUAUCGUGGCUAUGCACCUGGUAAGAUCAUGUAAUUGGUACCACAUAAUUCGUGCAAAAUUUUUGUGCCAAAUAUCGUCUUUGGAAAUGAAAUUAUGGCUAUCAUUUGUAAACAAAGUUUAAACCUUGCGAUCUAAAUUACUUUCUCCAAGAAAUGUAGGGUGUUUUUUUCACCAUUUUUGCUUACAAAAAAUACAUUGGAAAGGAAAGUGCAGUGUUUGCUUAACAAUGAGAUAGUUUCAGUAAUUUUAAUCAUAGGGCAAUGAAAAAUAUGCAACGUAGAACACUAGUCUGCUUUCCUAGAAAAAGUGGGGAAGAAAAAAGAAUUUAUUAUAACCGGGUUUGGGUUAUGGGUUAAAAAUUAAAAUGUUAUGUGACAUGCAGGAUUUGGCAUACCGAGUCGAGGGGUCAACUAGACGCCACGAAUAAAUAACACAAGAAAUCAACACGUCGUCAUUUAAUUUCCUACACACGCCCCCACUGGACAUAUUAUGCGGAUAUCACGCGGCCUCAAUCCGGAUCUGGAACCGGGCAUCCCUCUCAGAAUAAACGUGGGACGAACUUAUUUGGUAGAGCAUUUGAUGGGCAGAGAGUACUUUUUAAUCCUUCAAAAAUAUUUUUAGAUACAAUAGAAAUGUUUAAUAAAAAAUCAAGAAACUUCGAAAUAAAACUUAUUCAAAAAAGUACUUUUCUAGCAUGAGUCGAAAAACUGUUUUGAUUUAUAAAUUUUUUUCUUUUUGAACCAAAAUACCCAUAAUAAAAUAUUAUAAUUACAGAAAAUAUAUUUUUGGAUCAAGAUAUUAUUUUAUUUAUAUUAAUAAAAUAUUAAUAUAUAAUGAUAAUAAUUAUAAUAUUUUAUAUUUUUAUUAUUGUAUUAUACUAUAAAUAUAAUAUUAUAUUACAUUAUAUCAUAAUACAUCGAUAUGUUAUGUUAUAUAAUAUUAAAUUAUGUUAUAUUAUUAUACUAUAGUAUAAAAUAUUAGAUUACUAUACUAUAUUAAUAUUAUAUUAUAAUAAUAUUAUACUAUAUUAUAUACUUAUAUAUUAAUAUAUAUUAUAUUUUAUUAUGCUUUAUUAUGCUUUAUAUAUUAUAUACUAUAUCAUUUUGUAGUACCUAAAAUAUUUUUUUAAUAUAUUUAUUAAAUAUAUAUUAAAAUUUUACGAUACUUUAAAAAUAUAGUUAUCAAAUAAUAAAUAACUUUUUAUAAAAUUUCUACUAUCUAUUUUCGAAAGUUCUAACACUGCUGAAUGGAAAAGUCAGGGUAAAUGGAAAGAGGGCCGCUCGCUUUGAGAUCCGGGUUGCCACGCGUGGGCAGGUUAGUGUGUCUGCAUAAAAUGUGGUAUGCGAGCGUGUGUAGCUUAGCAACGUCCCCGGUUCUGGGUUCUAGAAUGCGGCGGGGCCCACUCUUCCCCACGACUCCGCAGCUCGUCUUCAAAACUAAAGCGCCGGUCUCCAGCUGCUUCCGACGCCAAAGCUGAUAAAGAAGAAUCUCGAUAACUCGAUAACCGUCGCUGCCCCCAUAUCCAAGCCUGAGCGACCCAAGCCACGAUUAGGGUUAGGGUUUGGUUGGCCGGCGAGGAUGCUGGAUCUCCAGAAGCGGCGGGUCCAGCUCGCGCUCUUCGUCGCAGGUCUUAUCGCUCUCAGCAUGACAGGUUCUCGUCCUCGAUCUCUUCUCUUCGUACAUUUCCCCUUUGUUUUUUCAAAUUUUUUCGGAGUUAUUUUCCCGUAAUUCCGUCGUUUUCCGUCCUGUAAAUAAUUGGCAAUUAAUUUGAGUGACUUUAAUGCCUACGAGUUCAUUCUGGCUAAUUCUGCGUCAAUUUGGAUUAUCAUUUUGGUUGGAGAUUGGAUUCGAUGCGGUUAGAAUUUCGAUUCAUAUGAUACUAGGUGUGGUGGCUUUUGAUCGCUGAUAGAACCCAAUAAGAACUUACUAAUUCACUGUUUUGAUUUUCAUCAUGCCCUUAGUUUCAAAAAGGUGUUUUUUUUUCCUGGGAUCUUAAAUUCUUAGGAAAUUUCAAUCAAUCAUUUUGGAGAGAAAGCAUGAAAGCGACAUAUGAAGAAAACAUCUGAGUGUGAUACUUUUGAAGUGCGUGGAGCUUUGGGGCCUUCAUUUUUAUUGCAUUGGCAUGGUUGGGAUUGUGUUGUAACUAGUGGCAACCUAAGAUAUUUUGAUUAUAUGAAUAUCUAUGGAUACUGGAGGAACUUGUCUAUUCAUGGUGUUUCCUUUAUAAUUUGGUAACUUCUACCUGGUGGUAUUCAUCAUGUAAUUUGUGUAGCCUGCUGCCAUCUUGGAGCCAAUGUUGUAUUCGGGAGUCUUUCUUAAAUGUUGGGAGUGGGCGUAGAUUGUUCCACUGUAACCAUUGGUCUUUUUGGUUUGUUUCCCUCACUCUCUUGUACCUUUUCUUCAAUAACUCAACGUGGGGUUUUCCCUCCUUUUUCUGAAAAUUUGGAAAAAAAGGAGGGGAAGUUCAUUCAGUGGCUACCGAGGCUUUGCAUCUUGAUUUCAACUUAGAAGCUUGUCUUAUUUACCAUCUCAUUAUUUCUCAAAUUAUUUCAGCACUUUCCAUUAGAAUGUUGCUGCUAUUGUCAACAACAUACCAGCGCUCAUGACUGCAGGUUUGUGUAAACAUUGUCCGAUGGCCAUCAAUCGAAUAGAAAAAAAAAAAACUUUUAACAAAAAUCAUUACUACUAACUAAUCGGCAUUCUGAAACCCGUGUAAAUUUACUUCUAAGAAAAACUCACAAGUGUAAAUAGUGAGCCUUAUUGUGUUUAAUUAUAUUUGCUUUCAUGAAUUUUACUUUUGACAUUACUUCCGACUCUAGACCGAAUUGCCCUCUUAGAAGGAAGGGGCUUUGGAAUUCCUUCUUACUCUUGGUUUCCCAUUACUUAAUUUUGAUGCUCUAAACUAUGCAUACAACCUUUUCUUCAUAGUGUUGCUGCCGUCAAUUUUGCAUUUGCUGCAGCAUCUCAAAUAAUUUUCCCAUACCUAUUGUUUUCUUAAGAGUAUAAUUAUAAUAGACAAAAACUUUCUUUGUUUUGGUUUUAUAUGGUAAUGAUAUGUUGCCUGUAUUUCUUUGUACUAUGGGAAGAAAUCUUAUAUGUACCCCAUCCCUUUUGUCUGAGUCAUUUCCUGUACCUUUAUGUUGCUUCACCAGCCCAUUUUCUUUGACAUUAUUUUCAUGGCAUGGGGUGGGGUGGGGAGCAAAUCAAAUCUUCUUUUUUUCUUGAAUCUACUAAGGGCUAAUUUUUAUUUUACAUUUGCAUUUUUUUCUUUAAUCAUAUGAGUUUUAUUAUUUUUUCUUUUAAAUUAUAUGAUCCAUGGUUAAUCGAAUCAAUUUCAUCUUAUGAAGUAGUUCAAGUAACACUUGUCUUAGAUUCUUAACCUUAGCUGAUUAGAUGAAAACUAAUGCACAUAACUGCAACAAGCUGUUAUUUGAUUCUAUAUCAUUGCUGAUCCAAACAAUGAAUAUCUUGUAUGAAUACACUUCUUUUGUCUCAAGCUUUGAUGGAGAAAUGCUGAUUAUCUCUAGGAAAACAAGCAGUUACUUGACUACAGGCUGAUUAUCUCUAGGAAAACAAGCAAUUAAUUGACCACAUCUUUAGUCUACUCUGAGAAGUCUUCUAAAUUUAUUGAAGUCUCGACAACCAUGAUAUGAUAGGAGGGCAUUGUUUGAGUAGAAUAUUUGGUUGGAUCAUCAUCAAGUAUACUAGUUCUCGAAUUUUAAUAUUAAAAUAUUCUUUAUCACCAAAGGAUCCAGCAUCCGCAUAAGGUAUUAUGAGCUUAGGUCUAGAAAUUUAAGCACAUGAUUUUGUAAUGUAAAUAUCAUUCUUAGAAAUAGCAUAUCUUAGACCAUGGGAAAUAAAAUAACCGGAUGCUGUUGAUAUGAAACUUGCUUCCUAGGCAUUGUUUCAUUUUUGAUAGUUUAUGGCGUCAUCUGUUAUUAUUACAUCAUCCUCGACAUUCACCAGAACAAGAAUACUGCUUCUUUCUUUAUCUUUAUGCAAACAGUAAUAAAGUUAAGUGAUGCCUUUGAACUCUUCAGUAUCAGAAAAAAAUAUGGCCAUUCUUUUGCAUUAGGAACCAUUUACCAUGUAGAUGAAGGGUUUAGAGUUUUGAGUUUCUUUUUUUGUUUCUUUUGGCACAUCUUUAGUCUGCGUUUAUGUCGUUUAGAAUUUAUUAGAAUCUUCAUUUUUAUGUUUUGAUUAAUCCAAAAAGUUUAUUUUAUUAGAUUUCGUAGACCUAUUGUGGCAUAACCUAUGUAUGUAAGGUGAAGACCAAGUGUUCUAUCAUGGUGAUGAAUUUCUUAGCAUUGAAUCUAGAUUGAAUUUGUUGUUCCUUAAAUGUUCAAGUGUUCUCUAAGGUGAAUCUCUUAUUAUCCCUUUUCUCUCCUCUCUUAAUUUACUUUAGUAGGUACCGAUAUUUAUUAAUUAGGACAUAGGAGUGAUAAUCCUACUUCAUUUCCAUGAUUGAUAAUCACUUGCAGAGCUUGAAGCAAAAAGAGAAAAAUAUGUAUUAUUCAUAACUAAUGAGUACUCUGGCAGACACUUAAAAGGAGCUUUAGUCCUGCUAACAAGAACUUUACCUCUGUUCUUUUAAAGUGAAGCUCCCCAAUUGCAUAAACUUAUUAUAGGUGGUUCGUCCUCUGUUGCUUCUGCUCCUGCUUCUAAAUACUUUGGAGCUUCCCUUUUGUUUGUCAUACCAUCUAUAUUACCAUGAUUCCACUGAUAUCACUUCCAAAUAACAGUGUUUUUGUUCUUCUAGGUAUUCUCAUUAAUGUAUAUAUCAUUAAAUACCUUGUCAGAUUGAAUCAUUCUACCAGUUUUUAUUAUGUUGUCUCUAUUAUAAAAGUAUUUCAUAGUAAUGCUUCUUAGGCAUUCUUACUCUGUGCCAUCUUUGAGAAUUUGCUAUUUCCCUGAUCUAAUCAUGCAACUAUUUGAAGGUGACAUCUAAAAAAGAUUCACCACUAAAGUAAAAACUGGAGUGUGACUGUGCCAACAAUGCUACAAGUAGAUAAUUUUCUCUUAUAUGGCACAAAUGAUGCUGCCACUCAUUCUCACAUAUUGUCACAAACCACUAAAAUUCAUCGUCAUCAACUUGUCACAAUUAAGACAAAACUCUGUGAACUUGUCAAUUUGGAGAAAUACUUGGAAGUGAGUAGAUUUUGCUAACACAAAGGAUAAGGAGCCUAGAAUUAUCAACUAGUCUUAACUUCCCUUCUUUUGUAAUAUUAGGACAAAAUUGGACUCUGUUUCCAUUUCUUUGUGGUUCAUGUAGUGAUGGCCUAAGAGGAGGAUGAAGAAGAGGCAGAUAAGGAUGUCUGAAACUUAGACUUACUAGCACCAUAGAUUUCAUGCUGUGUGAUGAUUUCUAGGUACUCUUGCUCUAGAUUUUGAAGUGCUCCUACAUUAUCUGGAUAAUAGAGAACAAAAUCCUCCUCUUUUUUUUCUGAUGUGUGGAUUGAGCAUGUAGCAGACAGCCAAUUUCUUUAUAAAUAUGUAAAGUCUAGGAGUAUUUCUAAAUCAGCAAGAAGUUGAAAGUUGUCAGGGGAAAAAAGAUGGAUACUGCUUUCUUUAUUUCACUACCAGGUUUGGUGAUGAAAAUUGGUGUGGAUGAUAAGAAAAAUUUCACCUGGACUUCUAUGAGUACUGAAGGCAGUUCCCUUGCAUUUGAAGCACUAAAACUUCUGUUUAAGCAGUGUCAACGUUCCACUGAAAUUAAUGUUCUAUCUUGUGGGCAUCCUUCCAAUCUUUUGGUUAUAGCCAACAAACUAACUGCUGGCAUUGUAUAUGAAUUGAAGCUAUAUUUUACUUCCACUGCAAAUGCACUGAUUUUUUCCUGUUGAAUCAUUAAUUAUAAGCCCUUAUAUUCAUAUCCCCCUUUUCUCUUUUCCAGCUGAAAAGUUCAGGGAACUUGUUGGAAAAGGAGCUGCAUCCAAAAGUGGUGAGUUUACAUUUUUGAACUGCUUUGACAUGGGCUCCGGAACUCUUGCUUGUGGGGCCAAAGAAGGCAUCAAACUCUAUGUCUACAACCUCCGAAGUGCUCAUGUGGAGAAAAUGAGGCAGCGAGCCACUGAGGCUGCAUUAACUGAUGCGUUGAAGGAAGGGUUGAGUGCGAGUGAUGCGGCAAAGCAGGCACAAAAAGUUGGAGCAAAAGCUGCAAAGCUGGCUUCCAGGCAGGCCAAGCGCAUUUUGGGUCCUAUUAUAUCCUCAGGCUGGGACUUCUUUGAAGCCAUAUACUUUGGGGGCACCAUGACAGAGGGAUUUCUCAGAGGAACUGGCACCUUGUUUGGUACCUAUGCAGGGGGGUUCCAUGGAGAACAAAGGCUGGGUCGGUUGGGUUAUCUUAUGGGAAGCCAUCUGGGUAGUUGGGUUGGAGGAAGGAUAGGGUUGAUGGUAUAUGAUAUUGUAAAUGGAGUGAAUUAUUUACUUCAGUUUGUCCAACCAGAAGAAAACACAAGCUCCAUUUUUUCUGAUGAAGAUUCUGAUUCUGAAGAUACAUAUAAAACAGAUGAACACAUUCACUAUGAAAGUCCAAGUGGGGAAACUGGUUAUUAUGAAACUCCACAAGGUGAAACAGAAGAGGCUGAAGCCUCAGGGGGUUGGGGUAUUUUUUAGAUGAUUAACCAGUGAGAUGCUAAUGAUUGUUGUGACAUAUGUAGCAAUUUCCAUUUUCAGUUUCUUAGUGUAAUUUGUGCAGAGUGUUGAAUAUAUUUUGUUUUGGGUUUAUCAGUGAAGCAUCAGGUCACUGGAGACGCACAAAUAGUUUAUUACGUGUUGGAAAACACAAUCUGAAUUGCUUGACGAUUGAAAGAUUCUACAUCUUUAAGAUUAUAGGUCAAUAAACAACUUUGUUGCUGGUUGUCUUAACAUCCAUACUUUUGCAGCCAUGAUGCUUUGAUGAUUUACAGGGAAAUCUGAUGAUUUGGCAGGAAGCCUUUUGCUGCUGCAGAGCUUGAUAUUUCUUUGCAUACGUGUUUUGAUUGAACUUAAGAUUCUCUUCAAGAAAAUUAAUCAUAGAUUGAUCAGGUGGGGCUUGUUGAUAAGUUAUUUAUUUAUUUACUUUUAGUGGAUGUUGAUAAGUCCUUGGUGGAAUAUUGCUUAACAAUUUUUUUUUUCAGGUUGAGUUUGAGAUUUCAGAUAUGCAUAGGAUUUCAGGAAAAAAGUUUAUUAGUUUUUGUAGCUUAUCAUCCAUUUUUGAAAUUUAUUAUGACUUUUGUUUUAAUUCGUGGCACCAUCUUCCCCUCUGUUGUAUUUUGUCAUUGAAUGGGUGCCUUACGAAACAUAGCCUGCUAUGAACUUGAAAUAUUAACUCCAUGCCAAUGUGUAGAUGAAACAAUAUCACUCAUGAAGAUUCAGCUAAACUGUCAAAUGCAAGUAUUACCGGUUUAUGAUUAUAUGAUUAUUAUUCUUAGCCUUUGCGCUUUAUUUUCCCAACUUGUCAUCUGACUCCACAAAACUCCAAGAGGCCAUGGCAGGUUGUAGGACAGGUGUCUUUUUAGUCAAAUUGUAAAAUAAUGAAGGUAGGAUAGAUCUUUUUUCCCUUUUCUAUUUUUUUGACUUCAUACAAAAAUUGUAUCACUUUGGUAAACAAUGUCAUAGGGAUCAAUUUAAUUUAUCAUUGACAUUGAAUAAUUUUUUCUGACAUAUUCUAUAUUUCUACAUGAGAAGAUCCAAUAAGUAAUUUAUUAAGUUAAAAGAAAUUAUAAUCCUCACGAAUAUUAAGUUAAAAGAAUUGAAAGAACUCAACCCUACGUUUUUUCCAGGGAACUUGGCACUCGAGCCAGAAUUGUUGCGCUCAAGAAAGGAGAACAAAUAAUUAUAUUAAAGAUAUUCUUUUUUUUUUACAAAAAUAUGCUUCUAAAAUUUAAAUUUAUGUAAAUAUUUUUUUAAUUAAUAUUUAUUUCUAUAUUCCCAUAAAAUAUUAUUUUUAUACAUAUGCCCCAACAUAGUUCUUCAAAUAUCAUUAAUAAAAAUUAUAUUUAUUUUAAUUAAAAAAUAAAAUAAAAUUUUGAAAUUAUUUUUUAUUUUCCACCGUUCAUUUUAUAAUUUUUUUUCACAUCUAUCUAUUAAAAAUAUUUUAAUUAUUUUAAUUUAAAAUUGUUAAUUUUUUAAUAGUAUUAGAUGGUGUGGAUAUAUAUAUAUAUAAAUAGAAUAGCAAAAUAAAUAUUUUAUAAGAACAUACGUAUAAAUAUUAAUUUUAGUAGAAUAUUCAUCUAAAUUCGAUAUUUAAAAGGUAUUUAAAAAAAUAAAAGUAAUGUCACUGUACAGGCCGUUAGGCGUUAGCUCCAAAUGUCCCUCUCUAAAGUUCCUUCCCGAAGACUACGAUCGCCUCUCUCUAUACCCCUCCGCCCCCUUCGCUCCGCUGCUUCUCCCGCGAGCUUUCCUCCGUUCCGUCUGUCCCCGCACCCGCCCGGUCUUCUUCGGCGCGCACGCAAGAAGCCGACGAAGCCUAUGACCUCCCACACCGCCUCCGCUUCCUCGAGGCUCUCCAGGCUCGCUCGCCCCCUUCGCCUCUACCGAGGACAAUGGCGCCGGGGAUCCCAACAAAAAAGAGCCUGCUGUUACUCACUACUCCGUGCAUUACAAUUUUCAUCAAACUGUACACCAGCAAGCUCAAAGUAUGGGUUGCAGAUGUACAAUCAGGAAGCCACUUUUCCAGUCACCUGAUAUAUACUUACAUACAAUUUUUUGACUGUUGAGGGUUAGCUUUAUUGCUUGUCGGCCUGCACACACUUCCUUCAUUGUGCUAAUGCUUCUCUAGCUGUGGUUUUGUAGUUUUGUAUGGGUCAAUGAUUCCACAUUGUUGGUUUGCAUACUUCCUGUAUCUCGUGGAUCUCCACCAAAGAAACCAUUGGUUCCUUCUGGCCCAAAAAUUCAAUCAAAUGAGAAGCAAAAUGUUAUUCAAUUUAGGACCUUCCAGGAUCUGCUAAAAGAUGAAUAUGAUGAAGCUUUGUUUGACUGCUAUGCCACAUUGCAACGAUUAUUGGCCUCUUUGGAUGGGACAAUCGUACUUGCUCUUGCUUGUUUAGGUGGCUUACCCAAAUAGAAUUGCUGUUGGAGGUCAUUCUUACGGGGCAGUUAUGGCAGCUGAUCUCUUAGCCCAUGCUCCCCAUCUUUUCUGCUGUCGAAUUGCUCAUUCUGGAGAUUACAACAGGACCCUAACUCCCUUUGCCUUUCAGGUUGGGACAUUUAUACCUGUUAUGAUUUUCCGGCUUGCUCUUUUAGUAGGUUCUUGUUAACUAGUUCUCUAAAUAAAGAUGCUCCUCUUUGCAUAAUUUGCAAAUAUCUUACUGGAUAUGGAUCUAAUAGUUGCCAAUUUGUGGAUGUAGAAUGAAGAUAUAACUCUUGGGAGGCCACUAAUACUUAUGUUGAGAUGAGCCCUUUCAUGUCUGCAAAUAAAAUAAAAAACAAUUCUAUUGAUACGUGGAGAAGAAGACAACAAUUCAGGAACGCUAACAAUGCAGGUACCCAAAGCUUUAUAUUGCUAUUUAUGUUGUAUUUAUGUUUGUAUACACUGGAAAUGCUUGUUCCUUAUCUUUUUCUCAGCCUCUAUUUUUUGAAGAAAUUAUCAUAAUAAUUGUUGUAUCAAAUUAUAAAAGGGAUAGUUUAUUAUACAUAAAAGAGUUCAAAAUGUGGGUGUGGUGUGGUACUACUUGUUAACCAAAGAAGUGCGCAUCUCACUCGAUGAGAGUAAAGAUUAAAUGGGAAACCUUCUGGCUAUCUCUUAUUCCAUCCCUCUGAUCAUGUGAAGAGCUUUACAGGCAUUUGCAGUACAAAACCAAGAACAGUAAAAUUGCUGUUCAAGAAACUGGUUGAAAUAUCAUUUUAAGGGAUAUUUGCAAGUCUAUUCUUUUAUUUCUAUAUGAUACCAGCUCUUUCCAUUCUUAUGCUUGUAGAUCAAUUUUUUAUGCCUCAGCUCCUACCAGUGGUGUCCCUCUCUGUAGCCAUUACUUGAUUAUAGUUGUUCGUAUUGUUGAUCUUAUAAGCGGAUUACACAAAUAUUGGUGCAGAGUGAUACACUAGUAAUGAUCCAAAUAUCCAAUGCCAAGAACCAUAAUCUAAAACCCAAAGCAGCAAGCAGUACCAUUCCUGCAGCAUCAACAGCUGAUGAAAAGUUUCACUAUGAUUUUUUUUUUUUAUCAAUAUGAAACCUUAAUGAAUAGACAAACACUUCCAAUAUGUCUGAAUGGGAGUUUAUUGCAGAAGAUAUGUUUUUGAAGUUUUCCAGAGCUGAAAUAAACAUUUGUUGGUUAGGCACUUGAUCCUAUAUAGGAGCACUGGCUUUAUCGUUCCUGCAUUUUUGUCCUUGCAUUUAGAUUCUGCAUUAUGCCCUUUGAAACAUCAUUAAUUCAUGUCUGCACUUCUACUGGUCUUGCCCUUUUUCAUCAGUUUCUUUUUUGCUCUGCCCGCCCAUCUUCCAUUGUUCUCAUAAAAGCAAUUCCCACAAAAGCUGUUUCUUCUUAUUGCACUCAAAUAAUGUAUCACCACCAAACAUUUAUUUAAUGGAAGUAAUGGCUGUUAUUUGUAUAAUAGAGAUGUGAAUUUAAAAUACUUGAAUUUAAUUAGAUUAUGAACAAUAAAUUAGUCAACAAAAAAGGUUUGAAAUAAUAGCCAUUGUAAAGCUACAGCUAUCGCAUAACAUUUCUGGAGGUUCCCCGGAAAGGUUAAUUGAAGGUUUGAAAUAAUAGGCUUGAUCUCCUGAUCCAUGAUAGGCUUGGUUAACUGAAGGUUAUCAUCAUCUGCGAUAAAUUCCAGCACUGGGAGCAGCUAUACAGGAGUAGGGGACACCUUUGGCGCCCAUCUAGAUUUAGAGGUAUCGCAUCUUGUCCUGGAUCUACGACCCAUCCUCCAUGAUAAGUUGCACAAGAGCUGAAGUGUUUAAUCCAGUUCCAUUGAGGGUACAGUAGCACGAUUUGGAAGUAGGUAGUGUUUCUAUCUCCUGCUUGAAACCAGGAAGUCCAAGCCUUCUAUUGCCAAAGGAGUUCCUGUUGUUUCAGAAUCUUGUUGUAGUGAGCAAGCAGGGCUAGUAGCGACUCAAACUUCAGCCAGGCGAAACCAUGUGUUUUGGCCUCUUGUUCUUGAAAUUAGAAUAUUUAAGCUUCCAAUGAGCUAACCUGCUUGUCCAUGUUACCUAUGGUUUGCCAGUUCCAAGAUCACAAUGCUUGUCAGGUAUUGCGAAACUAUGGAGUCACUCAGUAGGAUGGUGAACCCCUGGAACUAAGACUCUGCUGCCGAACGGACUAUAUUGAUUCCUCAUAUUAAAGCUAGAAUUGCUCGAACCGAAAAGGAUAAGAACCAGUGACAUCCAAGGAACUCUUCUGUAACGUGAUGAGACAGUGGUCAGAUGCUGAGCAUGCCUAACGAUGAACCCUAAGUUGAGGAAUCUACGUUCCCAUGGCAAACCCUCGAUCAAGGUGUGCCACUAUGGUUGUUGCAUCAUGUGUGUUGUGGCCCAACAGUUGAGAUCCACAAGCCUGUUUGGAGUGAUGAAGUUGCGAAACUCCUGUACUUAGGCUAUAAGUAGUAGACUAGCCCCACUACUUGUCCUCGGGAUUGAGAAUACAAUUGAAAUCUUUGAUGGGGACCAAUAGGUGACCAAGACUAAUAACAGAAGUUAAUGUGGGCCAUAAAGGUUGAUGUUCCCGAUAAUCCAUAGUUGCUUAGAUGAUUUCUGGAAUGGAGGACUGAGUCUGAGUGGGUGUUAUAACACUGAAGAUCGCCUGGCAUCGGGUCGAAUAAAGAUCAACUAAACCCAACUUAGGUUGCCAGCAGACUGAGACUGCCAGGUGUGAGUUGGUGGUAUUUCUAAUGUUGGUGUGAGAUUGAGAUAAGGGUGAUGAUGAUUUGAUUUGAGAUGUGGGGAUUGGCAGUAAAUGAUCAAUUCAUACGUUAAUUAAGUUUGUGAGAUGAGCUAGGGAUGAAGAUGUAUUGCUUUGCCAUUAUGAAUUUGAUAGGGCACAUGCUAGAAAAUGUCAUAUGUUUUGCAUAUAUUGAGAUUUAUAUAGUUUCUUCCAUAAUUUGAGUGGCACUUUAUGUUGUAGUGCCAUAUAUUGUCUGGGAAUAAACCUAGCAAAUCCAAUAUUUAUAGAAGUGCCUGAAUCAAUAGUUGUAGAAGCCAGCCACGCACUCCCCCAUUAACUCCCAUUCUGCACUAGAAAAUGCGAGCAUAGAACUCAUAUCAAGAUUAUAUGACACUAUGCUUACACAAUCAUCGGCCAAAUCAGUAAGAAUAAUAACACAUGGCAAACUAAACAAGUAUGCCACUUGUGGUUCUUAUGAAACUACAGUUUGCCAUACUUGUUCUAAUAAUGUGGUUCUUAAGAUUAUAUGAUACUAUACUUACACAGUCAUCGACCAAUGAGUAAGAAUAAUUACAUAUGGCAAACAAAACAAGUAUGUUACUUGUGGUUCUUAUGAAACUACAGUCUAGACUUAUUCUAAUAAUGUGUUGAGAAAUUCAGCAACAUGAAAGUGUUCUCGUUGGUUAAUGAUCAAGGACAUUGCUACUGACAUGAAUCAAUGUAAAAUAUGGUUGUAUGAGUAAUAUUAAUUGGUUUGCUAAGUUUGGUGAACCUUGAUAACUGAUAUGAGUUAUGAACGCUUGUUGGGAUAUGGUUCAUACCUGCAAGGUUCUUUGCCAAGGUGUUAAGACCCUUGCAGAAAGGCUUUCAAGAAAAAAGUUGGAAGAAGAACAUCACCUAGCAGUUGAUGUUCUGAUUUUGAUGGCGUUACCAUCAUACUUCUUAAUGAUGCGAUAUUUUGAUGCUUCUUGCCUUUGGUGGUCUCUUUGAUGCACUUGGGAAAAAAAACAAAUUUGUCUGUAUUUUUAGCACAUGAGGUAUACAAAUUGCCAAUGUUAUCUUAAUUGAACUGCAUGUUAGCAUUUCUGAAAUGCACUGAUAGCUUAUAUGGACUAACUGAUGCAGAUCAAGUUGAUUGUAUGAUGGCUUCUGUGGGCAAUCAACCUACUCAUCUACCUAAGAGAUAUACUAGUAGUAGCAACGUUGUGCUUGGGCACCAAACAUGCGCACCAUAAAAUUUGGUUCCAAACUUACUAGAAUUCUUUCAAAAAGCCAUCCUGCAUUUGAACAAGGAUGCUUGAUGGAAAACUGGCACCAACAAUAGUAAUGUACAUCAUCUCCUCUAUAUUGUAUUCUCCAAAUAAAGCUUUUGUUAUUUCUAGACAAGUAUAUUGCUUAUGAUUCUUAUGAUUCUUAUUCUUAUUCUUAUUCCCAAUUGAGCGAACGAUGUCCUCUCAACUGUACAACAUGCCAACUGUUUUUGGUAUUCAUGUGGUUUAGUUGAUUUCCUUGGGCCACUUCCUGAAUAUUCUCUUAAAGCUCUGUUGUUGAUAUCAAUUGAAAGUUUCAUCUUUACGAUUGAAGGAUUUAGCUAAAAUUGCAAAGUUACUUCGAUAAGUGACACAUGCGAGUGUUGCACGUCAAGUGUCAAGAAGAAUCCGAUAUAAUUACACAUCAGAAGGGAUAUGUUUGUAUCUUAUAUAUGUUUCUGUGCCUUAAUGUAUGUAACUGGAUAUGCUACUUCUUAGCUUCAUAACACUGAUAAAGCAUUUGGUAACUGUUGUACCAGACUUGAUGACUUUCAUGUAGAAGUGCCCAAAGUAGACAUGAUGGUAAUGGCAUCAUGAGUUGAUGUAUAAAAUGUCAACAGCGUAACUGAGUGUUCCUAUUGUCCAACACGCCAAAGAAAAAACCUAGAAUUUGGAGAUUCAGGCUAACAUUGUCAAGAAUUAUGGAUUUGGGAUUAGCUGGUCUAGAUCAAGAACUUGUAAUUAAUGAAAUUUCAGAACAAACUAGGAAUAGGAGAGAGUGCAAACUAUUUGAAACAUUUUAAAAGACAGGCACAAGUCAACGAUAUCGAUAUGUCAACGAUCAUGGACUAUUUGUUCAAGUUGCUGAAGAAUUGAGAAAAAUGUAUGUUACCAUCAACUUGGUAUUGACGUUGGGAAAAUCUUCUGCGUAAAAUCUGGAAAUAACUGAAUACUUUUCAGGGAGAUGGAGAACAUUAUGCCUUGAUAUCUGGGUGGUCACAAGGUGAUUAACAUCAUCUUUGGUCAUGUAUAUAGCAUCUGAGAGUAUCAGAGCUUUUAAAAGAACUGAUUCAAUCAGUCUGUAGCUUUCCAUGUCCAUUUCCAUGAAUGAUUCUUCCAACUCUACAAUUGGUGGUGGAUGAAACCCUUUCCUUGAGCUUCUCUUAGUGCUCCCCUAUAAUUUUAAUUGAUCCUUGUAAUUUAAGGAAAUUACAAUGGUUAAUAUACUGUAUUAUGCAUAAAUAAUUGCAGAAAUGUAUGAUGUAGUCUUGCAAGACCUGCAAAUGGACUUUAAUCUAUAUUUAUUGUAUAUUACAAAUUCUCUUAGUGCAACAAAACCCAUAAUCCACUCUCCAAGAGGCAUGACACGUGCCUAAAGGCAAUCUAAGUACGCGUUUUUGCUUUUUUUUUUUUUGGUACCCUCAUCCCAACUGCUAACUUUUGUAGACUUGUGGAAUUCAGGAACUCUGGUUGAUGAGUACAAUCAUGUUUGAUGGUCAAGCAUGUGAUUUACUGAAAGAAUUUAUCCUACAAGGGCUAAAAAUAUGCAAUUAUUAACAUUAUAGCUUAAAAUUACAGCCUUUUUUCCCCUUAAUUUUGUCUGAUUUCUCUGAAGGCUUUAAAAUGGCCUUUUUCCUUGGAACUAGUUAGGGAUCAAUUAGUUCACACAUCCAUCUGGUCUGUCUGGAUGGUAGUCAACAUGGGAUCCUGAGUUUGCUUUUGAUUGUUAGUUUCUAGUACCCCCUAAUUCCUUUCUGAAAAUCCACAAAAGUUUCAGCAAGCUCUGUUCCAUAAUUACGUCUCAAUGGAAUCAGUUGUUGGACGCAGCCAUUUAUUCAGUGUCUGAAAGCUAGGUGAAAGUGAGCCUUAUACUUGCAUAGAUGGCUAUCCUUCCUCUGAAUACGAGCCAUAAGUUGAGACCAUUUUCUAAUUUGAGGUUCUUUCUAUCAUUUAGGAGGUUGGAAGACCUUGAUUUAUUAUCAUGGAGCAAAGAAGUCAAACAGUACUUUUGACAAAGCAAAAUUUAUCAUGGAGAGCAAAUUAUGGUUCUUCUUUAGUUCCACAUGAAUCUCAAGUGAGUUGACUCAACUGGUUCAACAAGUCUAAGUAAGGAGGUUCAAUAAUUUUGAGUGCUAAAGUCACUGAGGUCUUGCAGUUAUAAUUGCAUCCAAUUAAAUGAAUAUCUGUUGAAGAUUUUGAAAGGUCACCAGAACCUCAGCCAUUGCUUUUGGUGGUCAUGUCAACGAAGGAGAGGUAAAGGAGUCAGUGAUGGAAAAGAUAUCUAUCUCUGCGUCGAGUAGUCGCAUUGUGUUCGUUUUCUUUAGAGCAUAGUGGCCAAAUUGGCAAAAGAAAGAAGACAAUAAACUCUCUUUAGUGCAAUUAUGCCAUAGCAAAAUGUCUACAUCCACAGGAACAUCCCUCCAUUUGCAUGCCUCGUGGAAAGUGUAGGAGAGAGAGGAGAGAAUGUAAAAACACCAAGGAAACCUCUAAAAGGUCAUAUGUAGUGGAAGAAAGGGCCAAGCACUACCAUAAAGAGAUUGAUCUGCCUUGAUCCGCACCAUGAAAAGAGAAAAAGGUUCUGCUUAAGUCUCAGAGUUCCUUUUUUUUUUUGAGGAAUGAGUUCUUGCUCAAAUAUAUGACAUGAUAUGUCGACAUCCUGAUUCUCUCUAAAUUCAAACUUUUCAAUUUUUUAAUUCUCUGGUGGUCCAGAGGAGUUACAUUCCUAGAUGUCAGGCUAGGAUUUGAGUGAGGCCUUCACCUUGAAUCAUUAACAGGGAAAGGCCGCACCAGAAGUCGUACUUCUCACUGUAGGUGGAGUUCCCAUGUAUAAAGUGCCAUCCUUUUCUUCCCUCGAGAGACUAGUGUCAAGUUUUUUUUCUACAGGAACCUUUUUGUAAGUCAAAAACUUGAUAUCAAUUAGUUUCGUAGUAUUGUAAUUAUGUCUAAUAAAUCCUCUGAAGACCAGCAGGCUAACACAAACACCUCAAGUGAAGCUAGAAGUUUUGGAAAAUUGGUGCAGUACAAGUGUUUGUCAAGGGUGUAGUACGAGUUCUGUUCAGUGAUGAUAAGUAGUACGAAGUCUUUGUGAUACCACAUUAGACUUCUGUGAAGCACGUUUCUCUGUUGCAGAGAUGGUCAUAAUUUUGUCUGAGCAGGGAAUCGAUCGAUUACAUAAAUGACAAGAAAGAUGAAGAUAAUGGGAAUCAAGUCUAGGGAAAUGCUGGCAUGACAACUAGUGUGGUGUUGGAGUUUUUUUGGAUUUCAUGCAAUGAGAGCAUCAACUCUCUUGGAGAAUUAGGUCUAUAGAGUGAAGAAAAUUUCUAGUGAUCUCAGUAAACGUAAACUAUGAAAUGCAGGUGUCAGCCAGCCCAGUUAAUUAAGUGCAUUAUGGAGGCUUUUUUUUUGAAAAGAAGCAAUUCGGAUGUGAAGAUGGUUUUGAGUUCAAAUCAUCCCGACAGUUCUGAGAAUUCUUUCUCUCUAUAUUUUUUUACGUUAAAAACUACCAUCAUGCCUUAGAAGGCUUUUCUCCCUCCCAUUUUGUUAUGCACAACAACCAAGACAUAACAUGUCUGAUAACUUCUAAUGCUUUAAUUCUGGAAUGUCUACAGUGCAGCUACAUUUCCAAAUGACUUAAUUAAAAUCUCUGUUAAACCCAUCUAAAUUAUCUCAAAAUGCUUGUAAUAUCAUAUCAAUCUUUUGUAGACUGCCCAAAGUAAGGCUGCUUCCAUCUUACGCUCUACCAGGCUAUUUUUCUCUUCCAUUUCAUGGUAUGCUUUUUAUUAUAUGCAAAAGCAAGAAAAAGAACCAGCUCGAAGCUGAUCUAAAUUUUCCUUCAAAUUUUAAGAAUUAAAACACCAUGUGACCUCCACCUUCCUGACAGAAGCAUGGGAUCUUCGUCGUCCCAACCCUACUCAUCAGAGUAUGGAAUCUUUCUCAGACCCUGGUAAACAAAUUUUAUUAAAUAGUAUGAAGUCUUGGAAUGGUGCUUAGCCAUUGUAUGUUCUCUGGCCACAUACAUAGAAUCUACUUUAGAUAAUGAUGCGUUGGGAUUAUGUCAUUUCAAGAUAGCACUAUGACUGGCUCUUCCAUUCAGAAGAGCCAUUUCAAAAGUUUGGGGUACUUCUGUUAAAACUAGUCACUUUGUGUAAUUAUUCAGGAAAGCGAACUGCAGUUUGAUGGAAGCUCCAAUUUAAAAUCAUGUUAAAAGAGAAACCAUCUUUUUCAACUGCAGUAAACCCAUUAAACACUCUGAAAGGAACAUGCCAGGAAUUGAUGAUCAGGGUGAUGUUGAAGGAUCACUCUGUUAACAUGGCUGCAAUGCCGAUGUCUAAGCCUACAGCAUCAGCAGAACCUCUGAUAAAACUUGAUUUCCAGUUUUAAGUAUAUCUCAGCAUGAUUCACCCUUUGGAACACGUUGUUCUCCUUCAUGUACAAGUAAAACGUCUCGUGUUAUCGGCCUUAUUAAACAAAAUCAGAUAAGUUAUCAUGCAUAUUAGUCCUAUUAGCUCAACUACUUGCAGUACAUUGUUUGUGGAUGAUUCAUCUUUUUCUGUAUCUCUGAAAUUUGGCACUGAAUGAAAAGAAAUGCUCCUGUCGUCAACAUCAACCACCUUAUCUUUUAAAUUUUGAGUAGUGACUGCAAGUCUGCCUCUCUCUCUCUCUAUGUGAGAGUGUGUGUGUGAGAGAGAGUUGAGGCUCCAUUUCAUCAGAAAAUUGAAACAAAGCAGAAUACAAGCCUUAAGAAAAGGCCUCACCAAUCUGCUUGAUAGUUAUUAAACACACUACAAUAAUCCAUCUUUUGGAAGGUCUAGAGAAAACCUUUUCCUUUUUUUCACCUUUAUGGUUCCACUUUGCUGGAAGAUUAAACUGCUACUGCCAUUGGACUACGCAGGACUCAUUUGCCAAUGAGACCGUGUGUUUUUAAGGUUGCUGUUUGGUUGGUGCUGUGGCUUCCAUUUGUUUGGGGUAGAUGAAUCCUCAGAGGAGCUUAUUAAAAUGGUAUCCUUCCGUUGUUCUUUCUUUUUUUCUUUUUUCUUGCUUUCUUUCCUUCUUUUUUUUUUUUCUGUUGUUGUCUGCAAUGAUUAAAGAAAAAGGGAUUCUUGGGAGGCUCAGCGCAGACUCCUCAACUGGACUGGGGGUCUGGCUAGCUAUCAUGCAGCCAUGUGAAAUGCUUUUGAGGGGCCCCAAACACCAAGAAUAUUUAUUAAAUUCUACUUUUGGCUGUUCUUCAAGCACAGCCAAAAGCGACUUUUAACUGAAUUCCUCGCUCGUUGACACUAUGUGCUCAUCAAUAGGAACAGUACUGUAGUAAAAUUAUUUCUUAGAAGCAAGUUGGCAGCUUUUAUGUGGAAUUAAUUUUUUACAUUUUUUUUGUUUUUUAUUUUUGAUACUCCCGAGGUUAAUGCCGGUUUCAGGGGUCGCUUCCUGAUCAAGUCCUUUAUCUUACAGAGAGGGCUGUACGCAUGUCGGAGAUGGAUAGAUUUUACAAGAUCCACACCUGAACCCAUUGAGCUAACAGGUGGAUUUGGGUAAAGGUUUCAUUGUCCCAGCAUUUUAUGGCUCUUGAUAUAUUUUUUUAAAAUUAUUAUUAUUAUUUGUUAUUUUUGCUAAUAUACAUUUGCUUUCAUGACAAACAGGCAGACAAAGUAAAUGAAUGGAAUUUUCAUAUGAAUACUGCUAUUCUUUAUCCGAGUGAUUUCCACCAAACGGAAUUUUAUGAUUUUCACCCUAUGGAGAUUUAAUCUCAAUUUUAAUGGUGCUCAUCUAAAUCCAGAAUGUGACAUUCAUCAAUAUAGAAUGUAAAAUAAUAUGAAUACAUUGACGUAGUUGAAACAAAUGUAAAUUCCUAAUGACUAUGCAAGCAAAAUAUUAAGAAACUAUCUACAGAAUUUUCACUUCAAUUACGUUUCAUCAAACAUUGAUUUGAUCGAAACUUGACUAUUUUGUAAUUGUCCGUUCAAGAUAGUUAUCACUGCUGCCCUAGUAGCAUGGUUUGAUGAUGCUACCCCGCCAAGAAAUUAUGAUGUUGCUUCAAUUUUUGACACAUUUGUCAAAAUUUAGAAAAUUAAUUAAUAGUCAUCAUCCUAAAAUUUCAGGGAUGUGUCAUUCAUUGGAUUCAUCUUAGAAUGUCAUACACAAUGGGUAGAAAUUGUGAGGUUUCUAAAACCUAAAAAUUACCUAAGCUUCAUCUUUUUUCAAGGAGAAGUGAUCCUUGUUUUAGCUUUUGUGGUUUUCUAUGUUAUAUCAACUGUUCUGAUUUACAUGCUGCAGUUUAAAAACCAUAUUUAUUUUCACAUGAUUUUGAUAUUUUCGCUCGUAUCUGCAAACCUAGAUGGACAGUUAUGGUUCAUCUUGGUUCAAGCAUACCAUUAAAGUAAGAAAUAUUCAUCUUGGUUAUGUGUGUGUGUGUGUGUGUGUGUAUAUAUAUAUAUAUUUGCUAGAAUUCGCGUGGUAUUUUAUGCCCUAAUUAUAAAUCUAUGUCAUUAUUAUUAUAAUAUAAAUUACUUAAGUUUUAAGAUCAUGGCCAUAAGCCUGUGUUUGUGGUGUUAUCCUAUUUCUUAAAGAGGCAGUUUAUACAUUACUCUUUUUAUUGAAAAAAAAGAAGUCCUAAUUUUUUCUCUUUUGCCUGAGGGGAGAAAUACAAAAGAAAUGUAUCAGCUGGAAGUCAAGGACAUCGAUUAGAAGGAGAACUUGUCAAAGAUUGGACUCCUUGCUUUACAUAUAUCAGCCCGUUUCUAGCCCUUGUCAUUUUGAAUGAAAACACUCCUUGCUUGAUUCCUCUUGUUGAAGGAGAAACAAGAAACAAAAAUGUAUGCACUGGCCAUAGAUUGGACUGUAUUUAUUAGAUGUUGAUUUUACAACCUUUUUUAAGAGUUGAACUAUAGUUUUCUAUGCUUCCUCUUACACGAUCAUGACAAUUUAUGUUAUCCCUCACAUUUAUCCUGGCACUAGUCCUUUCGAGUAAAAUUCUUAGGCCGAUUCUACUUUCGUUCCUUUGCCCCAUUGAAAUCUUCUUUUAAUGAUCAAAUGUUCAACUUAUGAGAUCAUUGAUGCCUCCAUGUUCUCAUGUUGGCGAUCAAAUGUUCAACUCAAUGUUCCCCUCCUUUGAAGUAAUGCACAAUGUCAAAAAGAGGUUUUGUUGAUGCCCUUUUGUCAUGAUACCAUUUUGGUUUGUUUAGUCUAUCAUCUCAAGCUCCAUGCCCCCCAUUUCUCUAGAACAAUGAGACGUGGCAAAAACACCAAACAUGUUAGGAGAGCGUCCCCCCAUUUCUCUAGAACAAUGAGACGUGGAAAAACACCAAACAUGUUCACAAUGAGACGUGGGAAAAACACCAAACAUGUUGUACCAAAAAAAACACCAAACAUGUUAGGAGAGCGUUUACUAAUUACAUAAUUAGGAAAGAGACAUGUUUAGUCUGUUGAUAUUUGUACCCAUCUUUGCUUCCUCUACCCCUUUUUUUUUUUCACCUUUCAAGAUAGAUUAACUAAUCUAAAGAAAACAAAAAAGGACUGCAUUCGGAUAUUCAGUUGCUGAGGUCGUUGGACGAGCAUAUAAAGAAAAACAUUGAGAUCAUUGAAUCAAGAUUGAAACCUAAUUGAAAGAAAACCAUCUAAAAUUAUCUACAAGUUGGCAAACUGAAGUCCAAUGAAGUUUUAGAGAAACAUGUCGCUCCUGAGGGCAGCAUAGCGAAAUGGAAGCUGACUAAAUCAAACAGGUAGGAUGAGGAUUUGGUCUUCAUGUUUUAUAUUUAUGGCUAUGUCAUCAUGCCAUCAAUUAAUCAUUUUAGUUGGGAUUAUCCAGCAUUGAGCACAUGACAAAUGGGGCUUAUAAGAAUAAAAUGACUAAUUGAUGUAGUGCAUAUGAUGCACGAUAUAAUUUUUCCCUUAAUUGGGGGUGGAAUUUGGUGCUCUCGUUGUGCUCGAAUCUUUCUUUCCUCAAACAAGGUGCUAGUGUGAACACCUUCCAAGCAUAAGAUCUUUGACGAAAGCCGCAGAUGGUUAGGAGAAGGCAUGAUAUGGGCCAUUUGAACCACUUAGAUUUUAUUACGCUUCUUGGUGACCUAUCAAUUAUAAAGUUCAUGUNNNNNNNNNNNNNNNNNNNNNNNNNNNNNNNNNNNNNNNNNNNNNNNNNNNNNNNNNNNNNNNNNNNNNNNNNNNNNNNNNNNUUAUCAUGGUGAGAGGACAGCCAUCAUUUCAUAAAUACGAUCGAAGAAUUGUUCAUGCUCUAUGAAUAAAUCUCUCUCAGAAAUCAAAGACAGAUCUCCUGCUUCAUGACAAAAUAAUAUUAUAACCGAAUAACUUCUAUUUUUUCUUAGAGGAUAAUGGUGAGAGGACAGCUAUUAUUUCGUAGAUAUGACCGAAGAGUUAUUCAUGCCAUAUGAAUAAAUAUCUCUUAGAACUCAAACACCGUCACAUCUCAAUGGAGUUUUCCAACCCCUCGCUUUCUCUGAUGUAAACCCUUGUGCUUGCGCUUUGUUCUCUGACUUUGUUUCCUUUCUUUCUUCCACCUUUAUUUUACACCUAGAUAAUGUGUUGACAAUGUGAAAAUUCCAAGUAAACAUUUUUUCAAAAAAUUAAGUCAUUUCUACUUUGCAUAAGUUGCACCCAUGCGUGUCGUUAAGAUAGAUAAAACCCUCCCAUUUAUGACUUUGUGUAAAAUAUAAAAAUAUCUGUCCUGGUCAAAUUUGUAGUUGUCCUGAAUCUCCCAUGCGAGCCCAUAGCUUAGUUGCAUGUGCCAUGCUACUCAUCAAUCUCCUACAAAAAAAAAAAUAAAAUAAAAUAGCGGUUUGCACUCCCUCGUUUAGAUGGACAUAUAUAUUUCUGUCUACAUUCUAUAUAUAAAAUAAGAUAUAUGUAUGUACAAAAAAAAUAAAGAUAUUGAUAAAAUAGUAAAAUAGGUUUAAAUGUAUAUAACCCAAGUCACAAGAUUGUAUGAUAAGACUAUAAGAAUAAAUAAAAAUAAAACCAAACACAAUGAUCAAUUGGCAGUUAAGCCAAAAGCAGGUAGGAACAACAGAAAAACUAGAAAACCAAAAUCGAAAUCGAAAAAUCAAAAACCAUUUAACUUUUUUAUUCGUUUCAAAAUUUUUGCAUAUAAAUAACAAAAUUAAAAGUAACAUCCAUAAUUCUAUAAUAAAAUUUAUACCAACUUAUUUCAUAAAUAUAUCAAAAAAUAAUUUACAGUCCAAAUUUGUCGUUGUGUGGAAUAAGAGUUGGUCAAGAUUAUUUCAUGAAAUUCCUAAUUUGAAUACAAAGUGUAUUAAGGGUAUUAACUAUCGGAUAUUUUCGGUUUCGGAUUUAGUUUCGAGUUUGGUUUUAGAUCAGAUUCGAAACAGAAAAUUCAUCAAAGCUAAAAUCGGAUCUAAAAUUGAACUAUUUAUAAUUUUUAAAACUAUCAUCCAAAUCAUCCUUGUUCAAUUUUAGUUAAAACCGGCCGAGGAUGAAUAAAAUAUCCAUUCCGCUUGACAUCUUCAAGGGCUGCUGGAAUGUCUUUAGCUCUAUGUAGUCUAGCGUGACGGCAUUGAUCUAGCCUUUUGAACAAAGACAAGCAAUUUGAAAAUCCAUUUAAGGUCUGAAGGUAGAUAUAUACGGGGAGAUGUGUCCAUGCACGACACCAGAUCCAAAAAGUCAAGUUCUCAUGAAGCUGAUUAGCAUAGAACAGCACACAGCGGUAGUCAGCCCCCAGCAAGCCAGCACAAAACCAUUUUAAAUUGGGGCCCACGUUCUCGACGCCACUCAGCUCUCCAUCCCCGUAAUAGGCCAGCCAGCUGAUCCCUCCCCGGAGGGCAUUCUCGGUAUUCCCUAGUGUGAACUAACGGGAUCCGAGAAUCCAACUAUAAACCACAUAAAUGGACGGCUCCACGGAUUCUGAUGAGCCACACUUCCGCAAUUUAAUCUUCCAUUAUUAACUGUUAAUUAAAAAUGUUCGGCUUUUAGCCGUGAUGCAAUCACGUACAAAACCAAGGGUCCAUCAGCAGCCGUCCCUUUCCAAUCGUAUCCAUCCAAUCCCCCCCUUGGGGACCACCCCCCGCCGCCGAUAAAUACGCACCACCACCACCCCUUCAACCCUCGUGGCGGGCGCGUGGCCUCGAGAACUUUCUCUUGCACAGCCUCCUCUUCUCACUCCGUGCGCACGCCAUGGGAGUCCAAGAGGAGAAGCUGGUCGAGAAAAUCUCAGAGAUCUAUGACCGCAUCUCAAAACUCCCAAGCCUCAGCCCAUCCAAGGAAGCGAACACCCUCUUCACCGAGCUAGUUCUCGCAUGCAUCCCUCCGAGCCCCAUAGACGUCUCCAACCUUGGGAAAGAAGUCCAGGAGAUGAGAUCCAAGCUCAUCCAACUCUGUGGCCAGGCCGAAGGCCUCUUGGAAAGCCACUACUCCGACAUUCUAGCGGACACCUACGACAACCCAAUCGAUCAUCUGAACCUCUUCCCGUACUACUCCAACUAUCAACAGCUGAGCCUGCUGGAGUACACGUUGUUAGCUCGGCACGCCACGAGCCCCCCGCCAAGCCGGGUGGCCUUCGUCGGCUCUGGGCCUUUGCCCUUGAGCUCGCUGGUGCUGGCCGCGCGGCACAUGAGGGUCGCCCGGUUCGACAACUACGACGUGGACCCGAGCGCGACCGCGCGGGCGCGGCGCCUGGUGCGCGCCGACCCGGACCUGGGGGCGCGCGUGGCCUUCCGCACCGCCGACCUCUUCGGCCUCACCCGCGAGCUCGCCGGCCACGACGUGGUCUUCCUGGCCGCGCUCGUCGGCGUCGAGCGCGAGGAGAAACUCCGGGCCGUCGAACACCUCGCGCGGCACAUGGCGCACGGCGCCCACCUCGUCCUCCGGAGCGCCCACGGGGCCCGGGCCUUCCUUUACCCCGUGGUGGAGCCGGGAGAUCUCAAAGGGUUCGAGGUGCUGUCGGUCUACCACCCCAGUGAUGAGGUGAUAAACUCGGUGAUCAUAGCGAGGAAGCCGAAGCAUGGUGGGGUCGGGACCGGGGCCGUGAUGAGGACUUGCAAGUGCUGUGAGAUGAUGCAAGGAUCAAUCACUUGGGGCAUGGGGCGCCCAUGAUUGAAGAGAUGGCGCUGGAGGAGCUGCCUUCGUGAGAAUGGAAGAUUAGUUUUUCCUUGCCUUGUUGACUUCUUGGAUGGCUAGCUUGAUGUUAUGAUUAAUUAUUAUGCCUUUCUUCUAACUGUACGUUGUCUUUAAUUUUGUGCUCAUGAUGAUGUGUGGGUUACCAUGGUUUGUGUUUUGGCUUUCAAAUGUUUACUAGCAAGUGCAGUAAGUGCAAUUAGUGGCAUUGUUGUUCUUCGGUUGGAAGGACAAACAUUAUGUUAAUUGUUCUGAUCGGGAAUUUUAUCUAUAUCAAUAAGUCUUAUCUACAUGGCAUUUGGACUAUGGCACUUGGUCUCACAUGCAUUCUUCAUCAGCCCUUUUUUUUUCAGUCAAGUUCCACAAUCAUGAACAUCCAUGUUUUUGUACAACUGGGCUCGUAUUAUACAUGGACAGCAGCCUCUAGAAUACAUGAAGGUCAAUGCAUCAUAACUACGAUUGCCUAAAACAUGAACAGCCGUGACAGUGGAACUGAAGUAUCUCAAAUUCACGUACCAAACUUGAAAGGAUCUGAACUCUUUUUUUCCAGAAGGAGCAGAGCCGUGCAAGCAUUGCAUACUUGAAUGCCUCUUUAAAAGUUCUGAAAACAAAGAUAAGAUAGCAAAAAGCAGAUAUGGCUAUGCUAAUUACAUAUUUGUUUUAGAUGAACUAUAUUGUCCAUGGUUUAAAUCUGUAUAUUGUUAUAAUUAAGAUUAGUUUCGUUGAAGCCGCAACCAUCUUAUCGUAUAUUAAAUUUUUGUAGCUAAUUUUGUUAUUCUUGGAAGAGCUAUCAUGUCAUCUCUAUCCAUAUUGUACUAUAUAAGUUUUCUUUUGUUUCUUUCUCUGAUAAAAGUGUUGUAACAUGUACAUUUCUAAAGACCGGAGAAAGAAAUGGUUUACCAAUGCAUUGCAUCAUUUUUAAUUCAUCUCUUACAUGUUCACUUAGGUUGAAUUAUUAAAAGUUGUUCUAAUUAAUAUUAAUUUUCUUCUCGAAAAAUUUAGUUUAUCUUAUCUUAAAAGGUUUUUGUUUUUUUCUUUAAUCAAAUUAGCAAGGGCUAAACUUCAUCUUUUUUCUAAUUUAUAUCCACCCUAUUUUGGAGGUCGACUUCUACCAAAAUUGAACCUCUGACCACUUGCUAAGCGGCAAGAGGCGAUACCAUCCGAUCAAGUCCUCUGGAAGAUUAUGCUAUCUUAAAGUUGUACAAAUAUUUUAGUUUUAUUCAAAAGCAAUAAGUUAAUCUUCAAGUUUUUAUAUGUUAUGUUAUAUAAAUUAAUGGCUAAAUAAUGAAAGAAGAAAUGAUUCGAUAACAAAUUUUGUCCUGUUCAAUUUAUAUUUUUUCACAAUUUUCUUGCAACUUCCGUCCAAGCUUUUCCUGCCUGCUGCUCUCAGUCAUUAAUGGUGGCAAUGCAAUACUACUGAUCAACCAUACUCUUUAUAUAGAGACUCUUAUGAAGUUCUUGGCUUAAAUGCCUUGUAUCAGAUGAUUGCUUGAUACAAUCUACAGUGUGAAUGAACAAUAGAUUUUUUGUUGGCAUCGAGUUAUCUAAUGUUUUUUUUUUUUGAAAAAUUAAAGAAGGAAUUGAAAAGGGAUGAAAAUGGGGAAAUGAAGCAUAUGAUUCACUCCCAUUCUCAAAUUCCUUUUUCUUGGUGUUGCUGUGUGAUUAUGUCAACAUAAAGGGAUGGAAAGCAUGUGGCUUUAGACGUUCUUGCACUCUCCAAGAUAAUUUAUUUAACUCACACAUGCAAGGCUCUCAUGUGGGCUCACGUACGCCUGCCAACGAAUCUAUCAGCUCUUGUCCCUUCUAAACAGCUUUUGCAAGAAGUCAUAAAACAUGACCUUCGACCUCGACAGCCUUGUCUUCGUCCAGUGGUCUUCAUAUACCGACACAGCCAGGACUGUUUCUUUCUUGGCAGAGAAAGAAGCUUAAGAGGCCAAGGAGUGAAGAACUAGAACAAGAAAAUUAUUUCACACUAAUCAAUCAAACGUUUGAAUUAUAACGCUUGCCCAUUGCAUACUCCAAAUCCAUUAUCAGCCAAAUGAAGAUAAACAAAAACAAAAAGAUCCAUCAAACGAGGAUCUCAUCAUGUUGUCUUGCUUUCAAAAACAUCCAAAUUAAGGACUCUAUUCCUGAUACGCCCAAAUCAAAGAUACCUUUUUUUUUAAUAUAUCACAAAGUCAUUCCCAAGAUCAGCCGAUCUAGAGGUUACCCACCUAAUAUGCGUGGCAAAAUAGUCUAAAAUUUUCUUGAACAUAACGCAGGUUUUCCUUUUUCUCUUUUUUUUUUUUUUAAUUUGGUCGUUUGGAAUGGGAAUCACAAUGCUUUCUCGAUCUCGUAGCGACUGCUUUUCUACAUUUAUUAUUAAUAGCAUUACACCAGCCAAUUUAUAUGCAACUGUUAGAUUUUUACUCGCAACUCUAUGGCAUUGCUACAAAUGUACUUGUUCAAGUUAGAUAAUGAAAAAUAGAUUCAGCGAACACUUGGUUUGAAUUCGAUAAGCGACUUAAAACACUCUCGUAAGGCUUUAGCUACGUAGAUAUUAGGGGAGAGCGGGCCAUGGCUAGCCCUCAACAAGAGCCUAGAUGAAUCUGAUCGACUUAGAAGAACAUAAAGCCCAAACAAGCCAGGAGAAUAACUGCACCAACUCUGCUAAGAUGACCGAGUGGAUACAGGAUGAGCAUAGGUGUAGAGAUGGACCCCAAUUGUUCAGUAACAUUUGCAAGUUGGUGAGAGAUUGUGGCUCUUUUCAGGCCGUUCAUGUAUACCGGAAGGUGGAUAAGUCUGCGGAUUGGGUUAGCACUUUUGCUGUUCAACAUUCGAAAAAGAUCCUUCGAAAAAGUUUUGUAUCUGUCUCUCCUCCUCUUUGCCAUUUCCUUCCUCUCGACACUAUUGGUUGUAUUCAUGCAAGAACUGUGUGAGCAGCCAUUGUACUAAAAAAAAAAGGCAGCUCAAGGUCUAAAGUAGCACUGCAACGAGUCUGACCAAGAGGAAUUAUUUGAUUUUUUUUAUAUCCUACAUAAAGAUUCUAAAGAAUGAAAACUAUUCAAAUCCAAUUACAGGUAUCUCAAAUCCAAUCUAGAUCUGUACUGCAGUAUUAUCUAGUUCGCAUGAAUGAUUGACUAGGUUCACUUUGAUACUAUUUGUAAUAACCUAUGACUUCUAUCAAAAAAGACUAAUUAGAAGGUAUUAUUUUGGUUUUUUGAUUCUAUAGAAAUAUCCAAGAUUUUUCUACUAAAUAACCGAUGUGGAACUAAAUAUACACCCAUACGGAUCCUCACAUAAGAUCAUUUUAAACUAGAAACUACUGCUGUCAUGAUAAUUCCAUGGCCUUAGCUUCAAAAUUUAUAUUAAAAAUGGCAAUUUCAGGAGUAGACGUCAUCUCACCAUAUCAAGGGAAGCAUGCAUCUUCAUAUUUACAUUUGAAACACUGAGGUAGGUGAGCAAAUGCAACGUACUGGGUGGCAGCUCAUUUAUUGUGAUGAUGGGGAAAGAAGACAGCAUCUAAGAGUAAAUUUCGUAAAAUGGUACCUUGCAUCAGCCCAAGUAUGGAUUGGAAACAAAUCAACAUAUCAUGUUAUAGUUAGGAUCCAAGAGAAAAAUUAGCCAGACGGAAGCAGCAACCACGUUGGUGGAACUGGCCCAGCCUGGCCCAGCCCACAACUACUGGACUCACCCAGCCCAUUGGCACCGAAAAGAGAACAAAAAGACCGCCGCAGCUUUUAUGUAUUUCCCCCACCUCCCACCUGAUCUCGUCCCCUGUUGGCGCCCACCCGUCUUUUUGUCCCCCUCUUUCCUUCCCUCCCUCCUACCACAGGAAUGUCAAUUCGGUGCAGGUAGUUAAAAAACUGAAAUAGAAACCAAAAUCCAAUACUGUAUCUCAAAAAAUCGAAACUAAAAUCAAAUGGUUUUUGGAAUAAAAAAAAUUAUGAGAGCCAUUGUAAAAACCACAACUGAAAACAAAAUCGAAAACUGAAAAUUGCCUCUUGUUGUCAUGGUAAGGUUUUGUGACUGUGGCUAUAAACAGUCCAUAUCGAAUAGGAUAGCGGCAUAGGAUUAUCUGAUGGCCAUUCUUAUGGAGUUAGUAAUUUAGAUUUAUGCUAAAUAUAAAAGGUACAGAGAAUAUUAAAUAUCGGAUAUGUUUGAGUUCGGAUUUGAUGUUGGGUUCAGUUUUAGGUUCGAUUUUGGAGUGAGGAAUCAUAAAGCCGAACUAAAACCGAAAUCGAAUGAAUUUUAAUCUUUCAACCUAUCAUCGGAACUAUCCUUAUUUAAAUUCAGUCAAAAUCGCCCCGUUGGAUUCGGGGAUGGGUAAUUUGAGUAUUUGUUCACAUUGACAUCCCUACCUUGCUCUUUGUUUGCUCGGCUUAUUGUUUCUAAUCCUAUAAAUUCAGUAGGAUUUCGUAAGAUUAUCCCAACAAGCCCUUAAAUUAUUUUCGGACCCCUAUAUAUCAAUUAUAGCUAUAUUUGUAAAAACAGAUUCCAGAGAGUGAACAUUAGGAAUGAGCCACAAAGGCUACUUUACCUUGAAGAGCAAUGGAGGGGAACCUCGGAAAAGUCACAAAAAAAAAAAGGUGAGUCAGGCCUCUUGCCCCAAUCAGUUUGCACACUUCGCCAUACCAGCUCAAAUGGAGGAAGGGAAUGCACUGAGUAACCUUUUGAGAGGCAUUUUUGAAUUAGUAAAACAAUUUUCGUACAUUAUAUCAUCCUUACCGUUUCAGAGUGAGAUUCAAUCUAAUUGAUCGAGCGCCAAUAUGAACUUAAGUUACGAUUUAAAUCUUGGUUGAUGGAUAUCACAAUAUAUAUCAAACCAAGCAAGAUUUACAAUCAAUUAAAGCACACUGUGCUGCAUAUCAAACAGGCCACACGCUAAUUGGCAAAAGCUCUGUAUUUUGAUGCAUACAUAGUACCUACAUAGAUACCACGCCUCAGCCUUCCUUGGCACUAGGUUUGGGUAUAAAAAUAACCCAACGCUGUUGUUGUUGCUUUUUUUUUUAAGUAUGAAAGCAGCUCACACAAAAUAUGCAUGAAUACAUCUAACAAAAUAAGAAAGAAAAACUAAUGAAAAAAAAAGAAAUAGAUGUUUGGUUCUCCUAAAAUAACUCUCCAGUAUGAUGAAACGCAAAAUAGACAAUCCAAUCAACAGCAUUAUUUGUCUUCCUAUGGAUAUCGAUAGCCAGGAAAGACCCAACAUUAAUUGUUUUAGCGUUCCAUAGAGUGCAAAUGAACCAAGCAUGAGCCCCAAAACGCUUAGCUCCAGCCCAGCCCAUUUUAUAAGCCAACCAAGCUUGAGCCAGCUUGCCUAGCUUCCGAACAUCUUAGUUAAAAAAUGAAAUAGAAAUUUAAAAUUAUUUUUAUACUUUCACUUAUAUAUUAUAUUUUUAAAAAUGUAUGACCAAUAUUUAUAAUAAAGUCAUAAUAAUCAUUUGCAUAGAUAAUAAUUAAAAUAUCAUAGUAUAAACACAUUAUUUUUGCAUUCGACCUAAUCCAAUCUCUAAUUCAGAGCUAAACUCGAGCCAGCUGAGACGCCGGUCAGCCCUAAUAGCAGUAGGGCCGUAUAACAGUGUGUAUUACCUUUAAUAGAUUGAAUUCAGCUUAAUCCAGUAGCUGUAUACGGGCAAUUCAGAUUACGUACACAUGCAAAACUCCAAACCUGUGAACCCUUUAGUGCCCUUCAGUUAGAUACCAUCAGGUAGAAAACGCUUACCAAGUUACACAGGCAUCCACUGCCUACUUUUCGAACAACUUAUUACAGCACAACGACGACUAACCAUUGAUAAAACCAGCAUGGACAGAAUCAAAAGACGACAAUGAUUUACUCCAUUGGUGAGAAAGAACCAAUGUCUCUAAUGCCACCGAAGACAUUGAACAAGACAUCCACAUACACUAACAUCACAGUUAAAUACUAAGCGCAUCAGUUCAGAGAGACUCAACCCAGUUUCUCUUGCUCAUCAGCACAAGACAGCAAAUUUAAUCAGCUCCCAGACAUUCGGAGCUCAAAAACAUCCAACGGUAAUACAUUCGAUGAUGGAGUCAACCGAGAUGAACCAUGAUCAAAAAGAUACAAACCGAAGUCUGGCUCAUCAAGUCAGACUGACUCCCAAACCAUUGCCAUGAUACACUAUUUUGUCGACAAUGAUAUAACUAGUUUCAGUCGAUCGAACACCAUAUUCACAUGAGCAUCAAAAGGAGAGAUUAAUGAAAUUAUCCAAGAACAAAGCAUCAUGGAUGUUAUGAGGUGGCACUUAGCAUCGUCGAUCAUGGACCAACGGUGCCUGUAUCGAAGUACAGCAUAGUCCCGCUGGAUCCACCGCCAACACCCUCCAUAAGGGCGAACCGCAUAUCCUCCGAGGGCUUCCAGUGCCUCUUCCUCUGGUUUAUGAACCAAUUGUUAAUUUGCUUCUGGUCAAGCCCUGUCAUCUCAGCUAGCUUAGCCUUCUCCUCUUCCUGAAGAAGCCAUCACAAAGAAAUUGCCACCAAUUAAACAACCAUUAAUGCAUGGCUUGCCACCAAUUAAACAACCAUUAUUGCAUGGCUUGCCACCAAUUAAACAACCAUUAAUUCAAACUAAAUUUAACCAUUGUCCAAGCUCAAUGUCUAGCUGAAGAUAGAAGCUCUAAAUGGAUAACAUAAGGGUAAGAAACUACCGUGGGAUAGGGCCACCUGUAGUGGGUAUGCCACCAAUCUAGCAGUGUCAACCUUGCAUCUUUGGGUAGCUUUCCCUUCUUCCUCUUCUUCAAGAAUUCCUUUCUGAGAUUGCUCAGGUAGCCACUGUACUUCUUAAGAAGCAUUUCCUUCAGUUCGUGGUCAGCGAGGCGCGAACCGGAUUCCUGGCUUUCCAAUGCAUCCACAUCACCACAGCUAAGCUCUUCUUCAGACGACCCAACCACUUCAUCUGACAGAAGAUACUGAAAAGUGUCAAAACAAGGGAAAGACCAUUCCGGGAACCAAACUGGAUCUUUGCCACUAAAUAAAAAUGACAUCAUACAUUAAAAUUUCAGUUUCAUUGAUCAAAUUUUAAAGCAUUCGGCUGCUCUAUGUAAUAGACUUCUAGUCAAAUACUGAUAGUCCAUCUAAACAAAGCCCAAGUAAAUCAGAGCCCUACCAAAAAUGUAAUACAUAUCACAGCAGACACAGCAAUAUCACAGCAGACACAGCAAUCACGAACAAUACUAGUCCUACCGAUGAUCCUACAUCACAUUUUUCCCAAACAUAUUCGAAGAAACAACAUCGAUAGAAUCAAAUCACACUUACUUUUGGUUCGUCCACCAACAAAACACAUGUAUACAAAAGGUGAUUUGGAGAACUGAAAAAAGUUUAAUAAUUCGAACAGGCAUCAUUGAUACUGCAUGAGCAUCCACAGAAUUCUUCACACCCUCGCCCACUAAAGGUCCUUUAAAUAAAAAUUGCAUUAAACAAUAGUUGCUUUCACAGGCAUACACUCUAGUAAAGGGAAGGAAAUCCAACUUUUGGGUGGAUCAUUUUUCCAGCCACAAUAUUGUGCUUGAGAAUUUUCUUAGCCUCUCGUUUUCUUUGCAAGCUAGUUUCAUAGUGAAUUUUCUAAAUAAAAAUCCUCCAUUAUCCAACCCUCUAUUGACCUACAAAUGUUUCCAGUAUUGGCAAUUAGGGACACCCAAACCCUAUCACUCUCCGUACUCAGCAAGCAAUACAACAAAAAGCCUAAAUUUCUACCCGCUAUUCCAUCGCACCAACCAGUUACAAGCAAAGCCUGGAUUUUCUUAUUCUUAUACAGGCAUUAAUCAAGGGAAAAAAAUGAGGUCAUCUAAAACAUUAUUGGAAAAGGAGCAUUAUGCAUUUCUUCCAUCCAGAAGAGAUGAAUGACAGUCCUGAAUUACAUAACAACAAAAACAAUAGCAACCACAAUAAUAAAAGCAACAACAAUAACCGCCAUCACAUUCUCGUAGUUAACACCAAUAAAAACUAUACAAAAAUAUGUGAACACAAUAAAGAUUUGACUGAAAAUUUCAACAUCCUUUGUAGGUGCAACAUGAAAAUGAGUGCAAUGAAUUAUUGGAAAAGGAGCAUUAUGCAUUUCUUCCAUACAGAAGAGAUGCAUGACAGUCCUGAAUUACAUAAGAACAAAAACAAUAGCAACCAUAAUAAUAAAAGCAACAACAAUAACCGCCAUCACAUUCUCGUAGUUAACACCAAUAGAAACUAUACAAAAAUAUGUGAACACAAUACAGAUUUGACUGAAAUUUUCAUCAUCCUUUGUGGGUGCAACAUGAGAAUGAGUGCAAUGAAUUAUUGUAGCAAUUAACUCAAAUUUAAACCAGAACAAAUGUCUAUAUUUCAAAUUAGCCUAAUAUCACGGAAAGAAUUUUUUGACAAUUUAUGAAAGAAAUUGAAAUAUAAUACGUUCAAUAACAGGAGGUGCAAUACCAUAUUGCUGCACUAACCACCUAAUUAGACAAAUUAAUGAGACUAAGAAGAACUAACAGGUGUAAUGAACUCCAUGCUUAAAUAUCACAUUUAUAGAUAGAAAAACAAUUCAAGGCUUGAAACCUUAUACGAACUAUUGCAGCAUUAAACCAAACAAUAAAUAAUCUUUAGAGAAACAGGUUGACAUUUAUUUUGGAUCUGCCAGAUUACGAGGCCAUUGUAGCUGCAACUGUUUGUAACCAAGGACACCACCUAAGUAAAUGGUCUACAGACAUCAGGUAUACAUUUUGACAAGGAACUGCAUGAAAAUGUGAUUUUUGGGGGGNNNNNNNNNNNNNNNNGGAUUUCAAAAAAUGAUAGAAUCAUAUAUGACGGCCAUAACAGAAGAAACAAGACAAUAAGUAGAAAGCCAGUUCAAUUUAACAAACAUUGUCAUAAAAAGAUUUCAAGAUGUAAAGUAUAAAAUAACAUUAUCAAGCAAACAGUAAAACAACCCACAUAGUAUCACGGAACUUGCUCAGCAAGUUGUGUCUGUCCAUUUUAAAGAAAGCACUGACAGUAGAGUAUUGAAUAUCAGCAUGCAUUACCAGCUUAAUAAUCCAAGCAAGUAGCAAGACAGAUUUGGGAAUGAGAUGAAGCUCAUUUAAACAAGGAGUAGUUAGAACAGUAUGCAGAAUGCAUUACCACCAUAAAAAUCCAAACAUGUAGCAAGACAGAUUUGGUAAUAAGAUGAAGCGCAUUUAAACAUGGAGUAGUUAGAAACGGCAUGCAGAUUGCUCCCUCGAACAUAUAUUAGUGAAGGCCAUUUAAAGCAUAAAGAGAUAAUGCAUAUGCAAAAAAAAUCUUUGAAUAAUAAUAGAUGCGUCAACAGACGGUUAAAAAAAAACAAUUCAGAGAAGCCAGCACCAGCAAAUCCAAACACAGAUUUAAAUGAUCAUCGUAUCAUCGGAGAAGCAAUUUUAAUUGUUAUUUAAGCUAAUUUCGGCAUUGACCUCUGUUAAGAAAAACAUAAUGUAUCAUCACCAAUUUUGCCACAAAUUAUAAUUGAACUAAAUGCAAAGACAAAAAGGCAGUAUAUGCUACAAUACAGAUGACUUCCCCCUGGGCGAAAUAAAUGGAUAAUACCCACAAUAACACAAUGAUAAAGGGGAAAAGGGAAAAGAAGUCCUAUACAAAAGAAACCCAAUUUAAAAAUCAUAUAUAACUCUAACUAGUAAGCCUUUCAUAGACCAGGAGGUUCUCAAACACAA
rnacentral:lncRNA from 1 species